CAACUUGGAAGCAAUGGCAAGCCCUUGAGUUUCCAGGUGGCAAGAAAUUAAGAUUGAGUUCAGUGCAUAUGAGUUUGGAUUUGUCAUUAUCCUUGUCUUGUGACUAUGGUUUUGACAAUUCACAUGGAUAAGAACACAUACACCAUUAAAUCUAAGUGUCAUAAGGUUUCUCUCCGAUUCAUGAAAAUGAUGGUGAGGAAACACUUUCACUAAGUAGAUUUUAGCUAGAUAGCAAUUGUGAUAUUUGCAUUCUCAAAGUCGUUAGUGGAGCGUGUGUGGUUUACCGGCACACUAACCUGGACUUGUGAGAAGUGGCAAAGAGGUCUAACCAUUAUGAUUACGGCAUCCCUCUUCAUAAUUGUUUAGACACACAAGUGUGCUAUCUAAGGGAAGGUGUAUGAUUUUGAUAAAGUUUUAUCAAAACAAUCUAGUAUCAGAAAUCUGAACUUUGGUAAGAAAGUCAGUUGAUUUCUGAGUACAUGUCAAAGCUAGUGGGAGCAUAAGUGUUAUGCUAAUAAUCAUCAUGUUAGUGGGAGCAUGAUAAUUAUGAUAAGUAUUGCAAGCUAGCAAUGUUAAUUAUAGAAAACAAAAGUUUCAAUUGGGAAAAAGUUGUUUUGCUAUAAUUAAGGGAGAGGAAAUUAUACUUCAUCUCAAAUCUAUAAGCUUAGAUCGUGAGGUUUUAAUCAUUUAGUCAAGGAUAUAUAUAUGAAUUUCAUGUUGGAAUGGCUCAACAUAAGGAAAUUCUGUAUAUGGGUCCAUUAUUUGCGUUCUAAAAUUCGAUUAUGAUUACGGCAUCCCUUUUCAUAAUCUGAAUUAUGAGAACUUGGCAAAUUGAAAUGGAAAUAUUAUAGCAAAAGACUGGUUUAGUCUUUAUGUGAGACAUCAUGAAUCGUGUCCCAUAUGCUUCGGAUAUAGGAUCGAUUACAUGUGCUAUAUUCAUCCGUUCUAAAAUUUUCCAAAUGCCUGGGGCAUUAAGAAGGGAAAAGGUUUAGAACUGGAUAUGACUAAAAGGAUUAAACAAUUGUCGAGGACAAUCUAAGGUUUACCAAAGAUUGGUUGCUCAAGGACAGUUGGAAGUAUAGUGAUAAUUCUGGAAGGACCAUAUUGACAUAAUCUGUAAGGAGGCAACUCUUGUUCAGAAGUGAUAGUCAAAAUGGAAUCUGGAAAUGUUUCAAAGUUAGAAUUUUCAAUCUGUGUAAGAUUAAGGAAACUUAAUGCAAGAAGGAUAUUUCCAAGGAGUUGAUCUCCUUUGGAAUACUCUGUAAUGAUUGUUGCCAAGUCUUUGUGACUUUGUGCAUAAUCGUUACAAGAGGAUCAAUGCAUAUAAGUUUAGAAUCUAACAGAUUUCAGUAAAUGGCAUGAAUUUGGAAUUCUUGCAUUUGCAGUAAGGAUUUGGGAGUGUGAAAAGAGAAUCAUUGAAGUUAUGUUCAAUUGAUCUAGUUCACAAAGUAAAGAUCAUAGACAAACAUAGUAUGCAUACUUGGUGUGUGGCAUGACUAGUGUUUAAGAAAACAUAGUGUACAUGCUUGGAGCAUGGGACAACUAUUGUUUUAAAUUCAAGAAUAAAGUUGAUAGCUGAAACAGUAUACAAUGAAUAAUGUGUAAUCAUAUGGUGAUAAAUAAAAGGUGUUUUAUUUAUGUUCAAAGGGUUGAUACCAUAUUGGAUUCAAUUAUUAUUGUGUUUCAUUUUGCAUGUUUUGACUUCCCGAAUAAACUGGGUUAUUCUUCCGGAAUGACUAAGUUAUUCAAACCAUCCACAGUCGGUCAUAUGUUGGAAGUAGAUAUGAAUUAAGACUGUCAUGGGUUGGCUUGUAGAGGUCUAAGGUGUUGGACAAAGGGCUACAACACUCAUGAGUGCUCAUAAGUUCUGAGUAUUGGAUUCAACCCGCGCUCAUUGGAAUCACUUCAUGGAUUUUAUCACGAGUGAUCAUGAGACGAUAAUAUCUUAUAUUCUUCAAACCUAGAGAUAUGAGUUGUUACUAUGAGUUGAUAGUACAUUGAUUGCACGAAAACGCAUUUGGUAACUCGGUGCUAUAAAACGUGCCUUUGUGUAUGAUUCAACAAGUAGUAGAACAAGCCAUAUGAGUCGAAGUUUAUCCAUUCCUUUUACCUUCGGGAUAAAAGCGAUAUCUGUGGGCCCCUCGAUGAUUUGAUGAUGACAAAUGGAAGUGCUCGGCCGGGCCAGGACUGAUUUGAUUUGUUCAAUUAGUCAGUCGUCAUAAAUCGGAAAUCGGGAAACAACAAAUGGACAGAGAGAAUGAUUAUAAUCCAUGUCUCAGUCCAUAUGAUAUCUAGAAUGGAGGAAUAUAUGAUCCCUUAUCUAAUGGACAAGUCAUUGACAAAGGUCAGAGUUCAUCUACAAGGUCAGAGUUCGACAGAAGCUUUUGAGAGCUACGAUUGCCAGUUGGUUCCUGAAGUCAUACGCAAUAAUAGUUUUAGACUUAUCCAAGUGGGAGACUAUUGGAUUAAUGUCUAAGUCCAUAACUAUAAUUGGUGAGACUUGACCCGACCCGGCAUGGUCCAUUUGGGUUGCAUGGCAUCAUGCAUUUGGAUAGACUAUAAUGAGAAAUAACACUUAAGGAUUAUUAAUAUAUUAUAAGUUCUAAUAUAUUAAUAGGAUUAUUUAAUUAGUAUUGAUCAAUAAUUAAUUAAGUGAUCAAAAGAAGACUAAUUAAAUAUAUGGGUUGAUUGUGUAAAUCAUCCAUACUUGUAUAGUGGGCUAAUGCUCCAUGGAUUAUCAAGUUGGGCUAAAACCCAUAGGAUGCUCCAUGGAUUCUCCAUGGUGUAUUUGAACCCAUGGAUCCAAGGAAAUGGAAAGCCAUGACAAUUAAGGGUUUACCCUAAUUGUGACACUAUAUAAAGAUCAUAUUGUUGGGAAAAAUCAGGGACUAUGAGAUGAUAGAAAGGGCUAGCCGAUUUCAUGAAGUGUGUAUGUUCUCUCAAUCUAUUCCAAGUGUAUUUGGUGAUGUGUGAACCAUUUGAGGUGUCACACUUGGGGCACUAGGCACUCAAGCUUCAUGAAGAUAAUCUACAUCAAAGAGGUAUGUAAUUCUAACUUGAUAUAUUCCUUUGAACCAAUGUUAUUAUGCUAGUUAGGAUGAAUACCUUGGAAAGUUCAUAUUUGCAUGUAUAAUAGAGAAAACAUAGAUCCAAGGUAUUUAGGGUUGCAUGUACACUUAGGAGUGUUAGAAUGCUCAAAACCCAUCACUAUUCCCCCCACAGUCUAACAUCCAAUUGCCAUGGGAUCCCCUCGGCGUCUUCCAUGCAAGUAUCACAGAGGCAACUAGCAUACCACAUAACACAUAAUUGGCCAGAAUUGGUGCCUUCGACCCAUGGAUAUAGCGAGAAGACUCACCUCGUACUGCUGAAACAUACAAAAAAUCCUUGGCUACUAGCUAACAGAUCCUCCAACUACCAAUAACAAAACAUUACCCAAUUAAUAAUUGGGUUCUAAUCCAUAUCCAAAACUCCAUACCUGGGGUAAAAAUGCCAUUUUACCCCUAACCUAGCCUUGUCCAAAACUAUGAACCAAUUUAUAAUCUUCAAGGCCUAAAGGCAAUUAAUCGACCAAUGGUGAUGUGAAUUAUGAGCAUUGAUUUGGCAUGCAGAAUUAAAUAACACGGUGAUUUGGGUGUUUAAGAGAUGUAUUCGAUCAUGAAAGGUAUUACAAAAAAGUAUAAGAUAGAUCUAGACAAUUAAAUAGCUCACACUAACACUCUCAAUGUUAAUUCUCUCAAGUGCACCUCUACAAGUGGUAUGGAACCCACCUUAUAUAGAGGUGUUUACAUCUCUCUCUCUCUCUCUCUCUCUCUCUCUCUCUCCAUCUCUCAUGUCAAAAGGCUACUCUAGCAGAUGUAAGUGGGUCUAUAAAAGUUAAACCAUUUACAAAGUCAUACAUGGAUGACUUUGUACCCAACAUUCUCUCUCUCAAAGUUAUGAAUGGAUGACCCGCUUCAAAUCUUCCAACUUUGAGCAACUUCAUCAAAUGAGCCUCAAACGUGACACUUGUAGAAAUGAAUUUCAAAUCUUCAAUUCUUCAAUGACUUUUCAAUCAGGGUUCUAGAAUGUGAGACCAUACAAACCGAGCAUCAAAAGAUAAUUAGGAGUAUCCAAAUCUCCAAAAAAAAUUACCCAAAAUUUGAGCAUUUAUACGCACUCUAAAAAUCUUCAAUAAACCCAAACCCAUCAUGAACCGAAAUCACUUUCGAAUCUCCAAUCAAAUCAUUUCAUAAACUUCAAAUACAUGAGGUCACUUCAGUCUUCAAGUCCAUGUAAUAUGAAAAAUUCAACUUUCGAAUUUCCAUAUCUAAAUCUCUCCCCCUUUUUAUAACCGAAAAAUGAUUAUAAAACCAAAAAGGAGAUUAGAAAGCACUCAAUUCGGAAUUUUUCUACCCAAAACUCCCCUUUAACACAUGGAAUAAACAUUUUGCUUCAAUCCGGAAAAUCCAAAAUAUCUUCAGUUAUCAAAUUCGUUCACGGACUGCCUUUGACAAAAUUUCACAAAUUUUGGUAGAAAUUGUGAAUUUCAAAAUUCUGUAGUGACCCGAUGCGCCCAAAACAGCCAAAAAUGCGUAACCCUCCCCUGUUUGCAAAAUUAGGUAGAAAGCGUCAAUUUGCAUUAACUGCAAGGGCCUGUUUCGAAAAUUAUCCGUUCUCUCAGAUUUUUCAGCCCAAUGUCGAAGUUGGGUAAAUUCUGUCAUUUCACACAAACUACAGGGAUUUGAAACGAGAGUUCAGUUUUUAACUUCAUUUUUGUUCCUUAUUUCGAAGUUGGGUGAGAAAUGUCACUUCGUUAAAAUAUCAGGGACCAAUUUCCAAAAUUUGUGUUUUCUUUUACCCAAUUCACUUCCCUAACCAGGUAACGAAGUUAUCACCACUUCGCUUUUCAUCUACAUGCUUAAGAACGAAGCACGAACAACACGACCCUUCGCUUUUAAUUUCACAAUUUCGUUACACCAAUCAACAAACAACAACCUUCGAAAUUAGAUACUCGACUCCAAACCCAAAACGGUUCCAAUUCAAAGUCAAUUCCCAAAUUAAUUCUUCAUUAUUAACCAUUCGAAAUCAAAAAUCAAGCCUUCAAAAUCCAUUAACAGAUUGCCAUCGAAAAUUUUCCAACCCAAGUCAUCGAAAUAUGAUCAACCCAACAUAUUGAUACUAUAUAAGCCUUCGAUUUCCAAUCCUUCAACCAUUCAAUAUCUAAUAAAUGAUUCGAACACACAGCCUUCCCAAUUGAAGUCCAAUAUUCGUUAUUCAAGCUUUAAUUUCGUUAUCAGCCCCUUUUUCAUGACGAACCACAAAUCCCAAUCUUUACAAUCGAGUCAAACAACACUUCUUCCUUCAUAAUUUGCUGCUUUGUUAUCAAUGAGAAUAGCAAAGCGCCAUUGCUCAAUUUGUCAAUUGCAAUCACUAGUAAUCUUCGUUGAUACAGUCCAAAUCAACAUUCAAUACUAUGUCUAAUCUCGUCUCUCCAUUGAAGACCCAUUUCAAGCUUUACUUCGAUCACAAACCUACUGAAUUGAAAACCAAUAUUUAAUUUCAUUCAACCUUUGAAAUCACGAAUCACUUGGACUUUCUGAACCAUCUUGAACUUUUCUUUCAAGAAUUUCUAAAACAAAGAAUAGACAUCACCAGUCAAACCAAAUUCAAUUUUGACUUUACUGCUUUGACUAAUUUCGAAUUGUGAUUUUCCAUUAUUCAAUAUCCAAGCAAAUAUCGAAAUCAUUCAAUACACAUUCUGGCUUGUUAUUUUCAUUGAUAUUCAUCGGUAUAAUCCAUAGAAUCUCCAAUCAUUCAUUCAAUCAGUGAAGUUUUUGAUAUCAAUUGUAAAUGAUGAGAACAUGAAAUUGAAGUCAAACAACGAAAUUAAGAAACAAUGGAUUGUGAUCAUAAGUUAAUGAAAUAAAUUCUCACAAUUAAGAGCAACGAUAAACUGAUUUUGGAAUCGAUUCAAACUAAUUCUGGAAUCGAUAAAAUUAACAACUGAGAAAUUUAUGAAUCGAUGAAAUAAAAAAUGAUUUGAAUCAAUAAUAGGAACUAUCAAUACAAAGUGAAACGAUAGAACAUGAUAAUCAUGAACAAUGAUCUGUGGAGACUUUGGGCUCGUGAACAGUAAAGUGACCAAAUGAAAGACCUUAACUUUCGUAUUUCUGAAAGACCCAAACUUUCAUACUUCACAAUAUUUUUACUCCAAAACAUGUUACUUGCAUAUUCAUAAAAGCAAUAUUUUACAAUGAUAAAGAGGUUACAACCUAUUGGAUACAAACCGACUAUUACAAAGUGUUAUAUAUUACAUAACUACCCAGGAUAUUGUAAUUUAUACAAACAUAAACUGAAGUAUGAAAGUAUUAUCACAAACUAUUCUAAUUCUUUCAACAAUAUAUGAUUAUACUUGUUACUUAUCACUUGCAAUUGUUAAACAUUGAUAAGGUAAGCGGUGACGCUUAGUGAGUUCAAUAAUAGAUACAAUAUAAUGUUAUGUCGUAUAUAUACUUCAAUAUGGCAGAAGCAAAGAGAAUCAAGGAGCAACAAAGGCAUAUGUGAAUCAUGUGUUAAGCUUUCCAUAUCAAACAAUGACUUGAUUCAAAGGUAUACAAUCAAUGAGACAUAACAAUUUCCAUACUUGAUAUACAUCAAUAAAACUUUGGCCUAAAUGGCACAGAAGACAUAAGAUUCCUGAUUAAUAUCUUGGUAGAUUUCAGACUUAUAGCUCUGUCUAACCAUUUGUCAAUGCCAUAGAAUAGAAGUCAUUCUCUUACGGAGACAUGCUCUACAUGGCCAGAGGCUACGUACCAAUACCAAUGUGAAUCUAAGUCCUUUCACUGGUCACAUGGUCAAAGGAAUUACUUUUGCUAUAAAAAUAGCGAAUAAAAUAACUCGGAAUAAUAACACUGAAAAGCACAUAGCACAUAUAGCACAUAACAUACAAUUGUUCCUAUAUAUUGAACUCACCUUGAAAUAACUGGGGUUAAAAUAAUAAUUUGGGCAGCACUUCGGCUCCAAAUAUGACUUUCUGGGGCGAAACCGGGGUUUUUAGUUAAAAACUGGACUUUACUCGUGUAGAGUUUUGACUUGAAAAUAAGAUUUUCUCGAGAACUUCGGGGUGUCUGGGCUUGCUUCAGAUGUCGGGGAUGAUACCAGGACUUUGAGGGGUUAAAAGUGGGUUAAAUAGGUGAAAGAGGGUGUGAAAGAGUGAAAACAAGCAAACAUUUCCGAAGAAUCUUGCUUACUAUUUAUAGUAGGCCGAAGCCUCGGAGUACGCUGGGCGUACGCGAGGUUUCACCAGCUCAGAAUAUGGGCCUCGGGCGUGGCUUCUAUGUGGCGACCAUGAGAAGACGGUAGACGUGGCUGACUCCAAACCGGAUACGUGCGAGGUACGCUGGGCGUAGCCACGUGUACGCGGGGCGUAUGGCCUCGGAUAAGAUUUUGAUUUUUCAUUUAUUUUUAUUUAAUAACUUCAAAAUUUCAUAUCUUUUGCGUACGAACUCCGUUUUUGAUUUUCUUUAUAUGCACGCGUAGGUGAGAAUAUAAUCUAUAACUUUCAUUUAGACUCCAUCGGCUAAUUCUGAAUUUAUUUUUAAUAUUAUUAUUUUUAACAGACCGGGACAGGAAAAUCCGUUAAAAAUUCAUAACUUCUUCAUCCGACAUCCGUUUUCGUCAGACUUUUUACCGUUGUACAACUAUUGACGAGAUCUUCAAUUCUAGUUUAGGUUGUGUCGGCUAAAAAUCACUCGAUCUAAAAUUCGAGUUUUUAGCUGUCUACUGCUAAGCUGAAACUUGUAAAAAUCAUAACUUCCUCAUACGAAGUCAGAUUUUGGCGUUCUAUAUAUCGAACUUCUCGGUUUAACGAAUAAUACGACUUUCAUUUAGAUCACUAAGGCUACAAAGUAGUUUAUCAAAAACUCACUUUUUACGUCAUUCGGUGUCGUGUCGGUUUUGUCGCGAAUCUUCGAUUGGUCAUAAAUUCUUCAUUAUAACUCGGAUUUCGACGAGGUUUUCGCCUACAAGUUUCUAACGAGAUUAUUUAAAACUUUCAAUAAUAAAAUUUUACUUAUUUUAAAUUUUAUAUUUUUGCUAAAUUUCAUUAUUUGACUUUUAAUUGGAAUCUCAUAAGACUUCCAAUAUUUUCUGAGUGAUUCUAAACACAGUUUUACUUCAUUUCUAGUAAAAACUAGCUGUUAGAACUCAACACUCAAUUUUAUUCACUUUCAAUAAUAACAAUACACAAUUUCAGAACGUGUAUGUUACACCAAAACAAAAUUUUAUGUUUGGUAGACCCGGCAAUAGAGUGGAUUUUGACCCUCAUACGCUCCAAAUCCAUGCAAAAUUAAUGGGUUUGGAUCAUAUUUUAUGAUUUGUUUACCCGUUAACGACCCAUACCCGUUAACCCUUUUAUUAAAUGCGUCGGGUAUAGAUCACUAUCGAUCCGAUCCAUUUAUGACCCACCCCAUCUAAAAUUUUGAAAUAUAAAUUAAUUAUUUACAAGUAAUAAUACAUUUAUCAAUUUUCAUAUAUAGGAGUCGAGGUGUUAGAUUGUUAGACGUUCUACUUCAACUUCCCAAAUCAGUUCCUAAUCUAAAUGGCCGAUUGCAAUCGACUUCCAAUAUAAUCGACUCUAGAGCAAGACUCAAGAGCAAGAAGAAAAGGGUUUCAUUCAAGAUUCAAGAAGAAAAAGAAAAGGCUGUAAUCGAGUGAUCGACAUUACACAAUCAUAAUACAUUUAAAAAGUUAUUUAUAUAGCUAUAAUUGAUGUUUGUUUUGGAGUAAUGUUGUUUGGUUUUAGUGAUCAUGUUAUAUGUGUUUUAAUGGAUAAUUAUAGCCUAAACUUAAUAUUGUAAAUGAGUCAGGUAAAAGGGUUGAAAUCCGUUGAUCUGUUUGAUAAGGGCAUGGGUUUAAUCAUUCAAAACCCUGCAGGUUACGGGUCGGAUGAUCAUAUGAAAAUUGCUUAACGGGUUUGGAUCAAGGCUGAUCCGCUCCAAACCCGCUCCAUUGUCAGACCUAAUGUUUGGGCUAAAAAAUAUUGAAUAAGAAUAGUGAUCGAAUCAAAACUUUGGGCUAAAUCAAAAGUAAUUGAAUUACAAUGAAUUUGGGCUUAAAACUCGAUUCAAAUGAACAAUUUCAAUUUGAGAAUCAAAUCAAACGAAAGAAUAGGAUUGGAGCGAGUUUGAUCAAUGAAAAUUAUUGGAUCAUAACAAAUGGGUUUUUAAAAAAAUUGAUCCAAUUAGUCAAAAUGAUCAAAAAUUCAAGAACGCAAGCACGAAUCAAAGAGAUUUAGAGAGAUCAUCGAGAGACUCACCAUAAAUGUUUCAAUUGUGUUGAAUGUAGCCAAAACGAGAACCAUUUCUUCAAAAAAUUGUUUUGAUCUUCAAAGACCCACUCUGAUACCAAUUGAUGUGAAUUAUGAGCAUUGAUUUGUCAUGCGGAAUUAAAGAACACACAAAGAAUAUGGUGAUUUGGGUGUUUAAGAGACGUAUUCGAUCACGAAAGGUAUUGUAAAAAAGUAUAAGCUAGAUCUAGACAAAUAAAUAGCUCACACUAACACUCUUAAUGUUACAUCUCUCAAGCACACCUCUACAAGUGGUAUGGAACCUACCUCAUAUUGAGAUCUUUACAUCUCUCUCUCUCUCUCUCUCUCUCUCUCAUGUGGUAGAGUAGUCUUGUGACAUGGAAGGGUUCAAUCAACUUGUUUGCUACAAUAAGUUUAAGGUUGUAACUCUACUUUGUGAUUUUUGAAAUUACUAGGAUGCAUAUUAGUUUUGUUAAUUCAAAGUAUGUUGACUUAAAGUGAAGACAUGGAUCCUAUUAGGUUGCAUGUGCCCAAUCUUAAUUGUUAAGUGUUUUCUGCAUUAGGUUGCAUGUGCCCAAUCUUAAUUGUUAAGUGUUUUCCGCAUUGAGCAAUGUAAUUGUAAUCUAAGAAAACCUUCACUAAUAACCUAGCUAAAAAAAUUCAUUCUUGAUGUAUGGUAUAAUGUUGUGAUGGUUUUGGCAUCUCUCGAUGAGAUUGGGAUCGAUUCUUUGCAAGUCUUUUCCGGCAAAGUUGGAUCGGGGUCAAAAACUAUGUUUUUGUUAGAUGACUAGUUUGGCGGUGAUUUGUUUGCGGCUCGAUUCCCAUAUGUUUUUUCAUUGGACAAGAGAAAAUAUUGUUUUGUUUCCAAAAUUCUACUUCCAAAUGGCAUUUUUUGGGCUUGGAAGAAGCUUCCCAUCAACCCUUAGAAAUUGUCUUGUUAGUGGUUUUACCCCAUCUCAUAAUCUGGAUACAUGGGUAUCAAAUCUCUCUAUUGAGGGUAAGUUUUAUUUAUGUCCAUGAUCUUAGAUCUCUAACCGAUUCUAAGGUGACUUUCUCUUCGAAUGAUCCAAUUGUUUGGCUCAACGUGGUUCCUCUUAAAGUCUUUGGGUUUGUUUGGCAAACCUGCAUGGAUCGCAUUCCUUCAACGACAAACUUUUUGUGAAGAGUUAUUCAAAUCUCCUCCACCUCCUGUGAACUAUGUUAUAAUGGCCAUUAUUCGACCAAUCAUAUUUUCACCGUUUGUCCAUAUGCCCAUUAGGUUUUGGUGUGCAGGGCCGGUUCUGAAAAAUGUAAUAUUCUUAAAGGCCUAGGACAAACAAGAAAAAAAAAAGGACGCUUCUCUUUAUUAUAAUUUUGUAUUUUUAAAUAAAAACAUAUAAUGAAAAAAAUUAGGUCCUGUGCAACUGCCGACUUCCCCCCAUGUUGGUGUGGAUUCUUAACUGGUGUUGCAUCCUACCUCAAAGCUUAUCCUAUGUGAAAGAUUUCAUAAACGUUGCGGCUAAGUGGUCACUGUCCCAAAACACGGAAGAUAUUGCUUGUUAUAGUUUACGGCUACGUGUGAUGUGUUUGGAAGAGAAACGAUAAAGUGUUUAAUAAAAGAUGCAUUUCUUCUUAAAAAGUGGUGGACAAUAUCACUACAGGGUGUUUAGUUGGAUUAAAUAUAAGAACAAUUUUGAUGUUUGUAAAUAAGUUAAUUGGUGUUGUUUCCCACUUGCCCUUUUGUCCUGUUUUUCCUGCGUUUCCUUGUUUCUCUCUAGGCAGUGGUUUGUUUAAUAAAAUCCGACGGUUCUUAAAAAAACAGUUAAUCACAUUAUAUUAUUUAAUUGACUUGUGGUGCCCUUGAAUAAAUAUGAUGGCAUGGUUAUCAAUGGUGGAGAUAUAUUUGUGGAAAUCUUGGCAAUGCUGGCAGUAGCAUAGCAACGAAGGGAAGGGCACGGGGAGAGCAAAAAUAAAAAUAAAAAAUAAACAUGGACUAAAAUUACAUUAUUUUAUUAAUCACAAGGAAAUACUAUAAUUUAUUUUAGUUUUUAUGAAUAUAUUUCAGACCCUAGUUAUCUAUAUAUCUUAUAUAAAUAACUAAAAAACACAAAACCAAUUCCUUCCGACACAUUUUGACCAAAAUAAAAUUAUCUUGUUAUAAUUUAAAUAUAUUUGAUAUUUUUGCGGUCAAUAUCUCAUCUCAAUUUAAAAUUUUGAAAUUUGAAAUUGUUGUUUGGUGUUCUAUCUCAUGAAGUUGCAAGACCAAGCACAAGAAACAUAGUAAUCGUCAUAUAAAUAUAUCAGGUAUAAGACUCGUGUAUUAUAUACGAGUUUUAUUGAAAAAGAUUAAUAUAAAAUUGUUAACAGUCACAUCUUUUUUAGUAAUAAUUUUACAUAAAUACAAAAAUCUAUAAUGAAUAAAUUAACUAUUUCAAUAUAUAAACAAAUAAAAUAAAAAGGUAUAUAUUUAUAAAAUGAUGAUGACAAUAAUGAUGUAAACAUUAAAUAUGAAUUAAUUAAAACUUGCUAAAUAUAUAAAAACAAAAUGACAAAUAAGUAAGUAAGUUAAUGUAUAAUAAUAAAAACCACUAUUAAAAUAUUGACACUUAAUUUUAUGAAUUAUAAAUUUUCAAAGACUUCCUUGAAUACAACAUAAGAUGUCGUGUUGGUAAGUUUACCAUAUUUAUCUAAAAUUAAUAUUUUUAAUCUAGUGUUACUUUUAACUCUCGACAAUAAAACAUAUAACUGUAUUUGAGUGAAUAUUGGUAUAUUGGUUGUCUAAAAAACAACCCCACCUUCUAUAGUGGCUGUCCUUGACUUUUAUUUAUUGUCAUUGCAAAACGUACAGCCAAUGGAAAUUGUCUUCUUUGAACUAUGAAAUGAAUCCUUUUAUCCGAAUGCAUCAAAGACAUUCUUGGAAUAAAAGUACGGUUCCAGAUAUUAUCUCAGCUUCUAUAACAUGUUUACCCAAUGCAAUAACCCGUAGCCUCGUGCCAUUGCUAAAUUCGUAUUUCUAAUCAAUAUUCCUUAGUAACAUAACCGGAACAUCGACUUUUAACACCAACUUAUGAAUUGGCAUACCUGAAGGUCUAAGACCAUUUAGAACAUCAGGAGAGUAUAAAGUUUCAUCAACUUCAUCAUGAACAAAACUGCAUGAGAAACACUAUCUGAACUUAAAUACUCUUGUAGAUCUCCUAGAAAUAAUUUUAAGGGUAAAUUACUCGGAUGGUCCCUGUGGUUUAGGGUAAUCUGCGUGGUUUGUCCCUAUAAAGAACUUUUAACUCGGACAAUCCCUAAUGUUUAUGUUUGUUGCGAUUUCAGUCCCUGACCAACAUUAAAAGACCAAUAUACCCUUAUAGAUUAUUUUAACUUCUUGCUAUUUUGUAACUUAAUUAUUAUAAGAUUUUUUAUAAGUGUGGGCCUCACUCAUUAUUUUCUUCCUUUAUAGUCACCUCUAGGAACUCGAAACCCCUCCUUCAUCGGCACCCACUCCGGUGCCAUCCCUGUCAUCACCGUAAAACAACCACCAUUGUAGCCCCUGAAACUACCACCAUCGUGUGACUGAAACAACCACCACCGAUCUGUGUUUUUUUUAUUGCUAUGAACUUCCCUGAAACAAUCGAUCUUGAAAAACUGAAAUCAGAGGAAUCCAUCGAUGGUGGUGGUGGCUCCCCCUCCAUAAAUGAAUCCCCAAACCAAAAUCAGAAGAACCACCAAAUCAAACUGAUGCAGAAUCAGACGAACAUCAAAUGAAAGCAAAAUCGAACUUGAGAAAGAAAAUCAAACCAGAAUCCAAAAAUCAAAAUCAAAAUGGAUUAAACAACAAAAACGUGAUAGAGUAUAUAUAAGAUGUUGGAUAUAUUGUGGUUUUCUUUCUUCCAUAGUAAAUUGAAGAUGCCGACGAAGACAGCGGAGAUGCUAGCGGCAUCAAUGGUGUUUCGACUUCAGGGGUUAGCGUUAGUUCACCAGAGUUGAAAGAGGGAGAGGAAUGAGGAUAGAGUUUUUGGUUUCUAAUUUCCGUUCGUCGGAAAUACCCAGAGCUACGGCGGCGACGAGAAGUAUCAUACAUUGCACGUUUCUCCGGUGAUCAAAAUCUUGUUGAUUUUCGUUGCCAUAUGUUUUUUCAGGUAAACAUUGUUUCUACGGUGAAGAGAGGGUUUGACUGGAUGGUGUUUGUCGGAGAUUUAGUGAUGUUGCUGGAGUUGGGAUGACGAAAUCGGAAUUAGGAGAAAGGUCGAGGGAAGAAGAAGGCUGAAGGGAGCAAUGAGGGAAGGACCCACAUGUAAUUUAUAUUCAAAUAAGAUAAUAAAUAAAUUAAUUAAAAAAAUUUAAUUAAAAAAGAAAUGGAUAAGGGUAAAUUAGUCUUUUUAGAACGGACAGGGACCAAGCAUGCAACAAAAAUAUAAAGUAACAACGGUCUGAGUUUAAAAAGUUGUUAGGGACCAACCACACAGAUUACCCUAAACCACAAUGAUCAUCCGUGUAAUUUACCCUAAUUUUAACAAAUGCUCGUUAAUCUCUUGCACGGCUUCACUCUUCGGUGCAAGAAUUGCUCUUUAUUGAAAAUAAACCGAAUUCUUGGCAUUUUCAACAAUAGAAUGAUAGAAAAAUCCAACUAAUGAACCAAUAGGAUCAACUUAAUCAAAAAUUAGAAGAUCAGUGGGAACAUCAAUAAUUGUCUCGCCAUUAUUCAAACCACCAACUUUUCCUUCUCCUAUAUCCAAAAUCUAUUUUACAAAACUUGUCGUUUCUUGAAUAUCAGAUGUGAGAAAACUUAACCUCAUGUUUUUUGUUUAUGUUAAGACUUUGCAACUCGACCAAAUAUAAGAGGAACUUAAAGAAGCAUUCACCAUGUCUUGUCUGCUUUCAUUAGGAACUACCGGUAGAAUUUGUCUAAAAUCGCCUCCAAAGACAAUCGUUUUUCCUCCAAACUGCAAUUUUAAGUUGCUAAGAAGAUCACAACUCAAUAUAUAUUUCAAAGAACGAUCAAAAGGCUUCAAAUGCAUGCUUAUGAAUCAUAGGUGUCUCGUCCCAUAUAAUAGAUGAUGUUUUUUUUUCAACAAUUCGGCUACAUCACUAUUCAGUGCAAAAGAACAAAAGGAAUCCCCAGUAAGAUUUAGAGGAAUUAUAAAGCAUGAGUGUGUUGUUUUACCUCCGGUUAGUAGCAAUGAAGCAAUACCACUUGAAACAAUAUUUUAAACGAUAUCACCUUUAGAUCUUAUAGAUGCAGAUAAAGCCUUCCAAAAAAAGUAAUAGCGGUACCUCCAUAGCCAUAAAAAAAGCACACCUGUUUUUUCUGUUUAACAAUUGUCAUGAUUUCAUCAAAAACUGAUCGCUGUUCAAUUCGUAAUGAAUCAAGUAGUUGAUGAGAUUCUUUUUGUAGACUGUUCAUAUCAAAAUCUAACUCCUCGGUAAUCAAACGGUUGUUUGAAGAAGAUAUUGAAUCAUGAUCAGGAUAAGGCAUCAUGAUUUAGAGAAAUUAUAAUGCGUGAGUGUGUUAUUCUACCUCCGGUCAUAUAAAUAUACUAAAUGUUACCCGAGAAUAAUGAUAUAUAAAGCCUAAAAAAACCUAAACUUUUCACUAGAAUUAACUAUAUAUAUUAAACUCAAUAAAAACUACCCAAAUUUCUUCAUAUCAACACACACGUCCAAAACAUUUAUAUUAAUUAAUAAAAUCUUACAAAUUAAAAUAUGUUGUUGAUAAGUCCAAGAUUAAAGAGCUUCUAGCCUAGUUAUGAGGUGUUGUACUUAUUUCUUAAGUGUAGUUUAAGUCUUGUCUAGAAAAUAAAUAAAAUUAAUAGUAGUUUAGGAAUUAUAUANNNNNNNNNNNNNNAUAUAUGGGUAAAGUGAACAUAUCUAACAACUUUAUAUAAGCUUAGGUACCUAACUCCAUAAUACUAGAUCCGUUUGUGUCAUAUUUAAAUUGUAAUUGCCCUAAAGUUCUUAAACUCCACGUAACUUGAUUACAUCCACAAUCCUUGAACUUUCAGUAUUAUCUUCUUUUUAAAUCACGUUUUUCUGUCGAAUACCUCCUAAUGAGCUUUAUAUACUACUGCUACAAAUGAAAUGAUGUAGGAGGAAUAUAACAGUGAAUGUCCGGAAUUCUUUUUUUAAGUAAAUCAAGUUUAUGGAUGAAGUUUAAGGACCUUGGUCGAUUGCCAUGAAAAUAUAAUACAAAAUGACGCAGUAUGAUGAGAAGUUAAGUACCUAAGCUUAUAUAAGGUUUGUAGGUAUAUUCACUUUGNNNNNNNNNNNNNNNNNNNNNNNNNNNNNNNNNNNNNNNNNNNNNNNNNNNNNNNNNNNNNNNNNNNNNNNNAUAUUGUUGUCCUCUAGUUAUAACAUAAUAUGAUUAUGAAGAGCAAAAAAUUAUACUUAUGCAAUUAACGAUAAUUACAUAUUUAGUUAUUUACCCCUAAUUUUAAAAAAUAAAUUAUCAGCGUAUUUUUUUGUCUUAAGCUACACGUUUGUCUUUGCGUCUCGGGUCAACAAUUUAUAAGUUUUUCUACAUUGUAUGGAAAAAAUUAAAAGAAAACAUUACGAUUAAAUAGAAAUGCAAAUAGCGUGUUAGAGACUCCAUCUAGAAGGCCUCGUGUUACAUCGUCUUUAAUUUCGAAAUUUCCCAAAGACUUUAUGUAUGCAACCUUGACUUCCUUUAGAACUUAUCUUUCAUCGCCCGACUUCGUCAACAACAAAUAUAAUUAGAUAGAAUAUAUAUUUUAUACAAAACUAUAACAAAUAUAAUUAAAUAGAAUAUAUAUAUAUAUAUNNNNNNNNNNNAUAUAUAUAUAUAUAUAUUAGACAAAACUAUAAAAAAUGUUCUCUGUAUAUUUUUUUUUUUAGAUUUUGUCAAAAUUAAUGGUCAUUUGAACAAGUUUGUUUCUAAUUUUGGUCUCUCAACAAACCAAAAAUACUUAAAAGUCCUCCUGAUACAUUUUUAAUGUAUUUUAUUAUUUUGCUUUAAUUUUUAAUUAAUAAUAAAUAUGGACCUCUCUCUCUCUCUCUCUCUCUCUCUCUCUCUCUCUUAAACACACCCACCAACCUUUGUCUUUCUCCCUCACCUCCGAAAACAUUGAAACUACACCUGCAAAUCCAUUUUCUUUACUUAUUCUUAGAAAAUCGAAACACUUUAAAAGAAAAAAGGAGAGAGAGAGUGAGAGAGAAAUAGAGUGUGUGUGUGUGUGUAUGUAUGUAAGAGAGAGACAUAGAGAGAUCCUCCUCUAGUGUUCUUGAUAUGGUUUUCGUUGGAACGUCAAAGUUUUAAAAGGAGAAAGAGACGAAAGAGGGUGGAGGAGAUGACACCAAAUCCCUGCAUCUGGAUCUAAAUAUGAUGUUGGAGUCCGAAGAAGGUGAUGAAUCACUCAGGUCCCUCCAAAUUAAGGCAUCCGUAGAUGAAGUAAACACCACUUUGUCAAUGGUGUCAGUUUUAGUACAUGCUUCCAACACAUUAUGAGUUGCUCAUACUCAUACCUUCAUUUUUGUCAUCAAAUCUUGUUUUCAUUUCAAACAAUACAUGUAAAUUAAGAAUUUACGAUUCAUCCAUUGAAGAUUCUAUUGAAAUCGAAACUGAUAACACUAAAUACAUUAUAAGAAGGUUGAUUACAUGGAGCUUCGAAAGAGUAAAACUAUCCACAACAUCCUUCCAAAGCUUCCACUAUACUAUGAUAAUCCAAUUAGUCUUUGUAAAAAAAACUCUCAAUUUCUUCUUGUCUACAAUCGUUCUAUCCAUAGAUUGCAUCUCCAUUGAAGAAUUAACAAAUUCCAAGUUAUUUUCAAUUCAGUUCACACCCCAAUUGAAAUCCCUAAUUUGCUUAUCCAAACGAAAAUAUAAAAUGGAAAGACACAACGUACCAUGGUUGUGAAUUGCAGCAUGAACGAACUAACAUCUUUAAAGAAGACGAUGCACAAGUGCAAAUCCUAAACUUCUACCAUCAUCCAUUAUAGAAACAGUCUUUCGGGUGGGAGUAUACGGUGGACACACACACAGAGAGAGAGAGAGAGAGAGAGAGAGAGAGAGAGAGAGAUGGGGUGGAUAUGUGGGGUNUGAGUUCUUAUCUUUAUAUAUAUAUAUAUAUAUAUAUAUAUAUAUAAAGUAAAAAUUAGGAAAUAAAUAGAAUACAGUUUAGUCAUUUCAACUUUUAGAUGGACCAAAACCACAUACAAACAUGCUUAAAAGACCACCAAUCCAAAACUUUCAUGAUUUGGACCAAAUCCUGAUACAAAUGCAAACCACAUGGACCAUUUUUACAGUUUUGUCUAUAUUUUAUUACAUAAUAACUUUCAAAGAUUUUUAAAAUAUGUUUCAAAGGUUUUUAAAGUAGAAAAUAAAACAAUAUGGAAUUGAUGUAUAAAAAUUAAACAUUUGAAUGACAAAAGGUUGUUUGUUUUACUAUGAAAGACUCAAAAUUAUCUCUAUUUAGCCACUAAAGCUCUAAUUGUUCAAGAUAGACCCUUGAAGUCAUGAUUACCCAUAACUCCCGAUUAGUUGGUUUCCUUGCUAACGUCGAGCCUACGUGGACAAUGUGACAACUUGAAAUUUCUAUCUUAUAACAAACCCUGCAUUUAAUCAAUGUCAAACUUACUUCUGCUAAUUUUUAGCAUUUUUGGAGUCAGUUUGGGUGUUUUAAUCUUAAAUAUAUCAGAGGUAAUUAUAGGAAGUAUACUCUAGAGUUAAUUGUGCAACACUUUAGUCUCAAAACUUCAAGAGUUUGGAGUUUAUUGCCAUAAAAUUGAGUUUACGGUCGUAAACUCUAGAGUAUAAAUAUGAUACUUAGUCAUUCUAUGUCAUUUUUACCAUUUUCAAGCCUAGAACUCAUUUUCUCUCAAGUAUCAUCUGAGUUAUUCACUAGAUCUUCAACUUGGUAAGUGUUUCCUUCAUUGAUUAGUUGAUAUACUUCAAUAUCUAGGGUUUGUGCAUGAUUUCAUCCAUGAAAUCUCUUUAUUUGAUAGAUCUUCAAGUGUUCUUCAUUUCACCAAGAACACCAAGAACAAACACUAGUGUUCUUGAGCCUUAAACACCCUUAAAAGCUUCAAUAUUGUAAGUACUCUUGUCUUAGCUUGUUUUAUACUUGAAUCAACUAGUUUACACCUAGAAAACAUCAAGAAAACAAGAUCAAAAGGGAUUUUACGGCCAAGGAACCUCCUUGGGCCGUAAACCCUAAUUAAGGGUGCAAAUANUCUUAGCUUGUUUUAUACUUGAAUCAACUAGUUUACACCUAGAAAACAUCAAGAAAACAAGAUCAAAAGGGAGUUUACAGCCAAGGAACCUCCUUGGGCCGUAAACCCUAAUUAAAUGUGCAAAUGAACCCUAAUCCCUUCAAAAGCCUUGGGACCAAGUCUAGAACACUUCCAUCAUAAGCUAGGGACCUUAAAAUUUGAAAUGGUACAAAAUACCAUGCGUUUACAGCCGUAAACUCAUGGAGAAAUGUUCCUUAGGCCGUAAACCCUAGGUAGUGGUGCAAUGGUGCCACCAUUCCUUCCUAAGGCUUAUACUUGAUCAUAGAACACUUCAUUAUGACUUGUAAGACCUUAUAACACAAUUUGGUACUUAAUACCAUGAGUUUACGGCCGUAAACUCAUGGGGAAAUUACCCCUUGGCCGUAAACUCAUGUGGUUAUUACCAUAUAGGCCAUAAACUCCAAUGGGAGGCCCUACACCCCUUAUAUGCAACCCUAUGUGGUUUAACACUUCAGUUCAAGCGUUUCCUAGCCCCUAAGGUUGUUCCAUUACAUAAUUAGUUGUUAUAAACACUAAUUGUAAGCAUAUAUGUGUCAUUAUAUGUUAAAUAGGAUCCGUGUGUGCUCAAGUCUUCACUUGACACUUAGCAUCCUCUACCGAUCUUACAUUCGCAUCACUCACUUCAGGUGAGCUCAUACCCCUUAACUUAUCUUUAAAUGAUUUAAAAUGCUUUUAUGGGGGGAAUACAAAUACAAAACAUGCUAGUUAUAUAAUCAAUCACAUGUGAUUUAUAACUGUGUUUCAAACAAGGAUUUCAUAUACAUCAAACUGUGUUUCAAAACAAACUACUUUUAAAUCGUUUUAUAAACUGACGUCAAGUCAUUAUUUAUUUAUUGCUAAAAACUCUUUAAAUGUAUUAGAAAACCUCUUUUUAACUUAUAUAUACUGUCAACAGCAUGUCAAUAUAUGUAUAGUUAUAUACAUAAUGUUUAAAGGACUUAGGACUGCUAGCUCGCUUUAUUUCCUUUUCCUUGUUUGGAUGUGGACUUACGGUAUCGGCCAGUUAUCCGAAGGUCGUCUAAAUAUUAGAUAUAUAUUAUGUAUACAUAUGUUGACAUAAAAGUUCUAUUCAAUCAGUUCAAUACCUUUGGGUAGCAAAGGUAUACAUUCAUCUAUUCAUAUACAUAACUUACUAGUAAACUAUAAUAAGUAUAGUUUAGGAGAGUACUAUCAUAUACAAAUACUAUAACAGAGAAUACUAUAACAGAGAAUACUAGACAGAGAAUACUAUACAAAGGAUUCUAUAGAGAGAAUACUGUACAAAGAAUACUAUUACUAUAACAAGUAUACUAUAACAAGAUUCAGAGACAACAUAAUGUGAGAUACUACUUCAUGAGACAUCGACCAUUUCGUUAUGUCAUGUUUUAUAACCAGAAUCUCCUGGAGGGAGAGCGUGAUUUUGCGUAUAGAUCUAUACUGGAUUGACUAUCCUACACCUUUACUGUUUGCUACAGUGGGAUUUGCAAAUCUACGGGUGCCAAAUGUCAUUUCUUCCGACGUCUUUCAUCGUCGUGUUAUAGUCAUAUUAGCAUGGUAACAAUCAUAUCACAUUUUGCCUUAAUUAAAACAUUGGUUUUCAGGUAGUUAUUACUUCAGUGAUUAAUACAAAUAAUACUGCAGUACACAUAAAUUUUCCCGCUACUUUCCAAUUGUGAUCUUCUCACAUAAAGGGUAAUAUAAAACUAUAUUUUGGUAAUGAUAGUCAUACUUGGGAAAACAUUCACUUUUACAAAGAAACAAACAUACAAAACAGUCGGGUCUUGGUAGAAGACUACUUUUUAUACUAGUAGAAAAUACAGGAUUUUCUAGGAGUUUUCAAACAUAUACAAACAUUUACAUUGAUCAAUUACAAACAUUUUCAUCAAACUUAUACAAACAUUGAUACUAAAUACUUAUGAACUCACCAGCUUAAAUGUUGAUCUACGCUUUCAAAAUAACUUGUAUUCUCAGGUUUGCAAUAGACAGGUACCGAUGACCAGGUUUUGAGAAGACGGAGCAUCUUCAAGACUCGUCUUUUAUUUUGAUUAUUCAUUUUGGUGUCUUAUUACUAUUAAAGAACACAAUUGUAUGAAAUUAUAUUGUUAAUCCAAUGGAUGAUGUUGUUGCUUAUUUACUACUUUGCAUUGUUAUGAUACUGUACAUGACGUCCUCCGCCCCAGAACGUUUCCGCCGUUCUUGGUUUUGGGGUGUGACAGAUUGGUAUCAGAGCAUUGUUUAUAGUGAAUCGAGUAUAUCAACCCAUAAAAGAUAUACAAAGUAUAAACACAAUGGGAUUAAAAUACUGUGACCAAGAGUUUAUACUUUUAAGUACUAAAAUACUUAACUAGAAGUAUACAUAAUUACAUACCUACAUACUUACUAUAGAACAAUGUCAUACUAGAACAUAACAAAAGUAUUACUAUUGUUGAACAUCACAAGUGAGCUUAGGGAUGUAUUGUCAGUUCUGGGAGUGACAUAGCCUGAUCAACUCUCUUGGUUCGAAAAGUGAUUAGCAUAUGCUGAGAAUGGUUGUGAUGUAUCAACAAGUAUAAGAACUUACCAACACUACUACAAUGAGAACAUAAGAACAUAACAUAAACUUAAAAUACUAUAGGAGUAUUUUGUGUUACUAUAAUUACUUAUUUGAGAACUAAACAGGUCUUUAUUAGUAUUUCAAUAGUUACGGAGUGGAUACACUAAGGUUAUAUGUAACUAUGGUGGCAUAGACUUAGAAUCUGUGAUCUUCGCUUUACUUCCUGUUCCUUGUUUGGUUGUGGACUUAGGGUUAGGGUCACUUAUUUGAAGGUCUAUCCUGUUUUGGUUGCAUAUGACUGGUAUGCACUACGCAAAUGUUGGAGUAACUAAUAAGGAUCAUCAUAUAAUUAUCUUAGUUAGUACGUCUAUUAACUAAUUCUUUUACCCCUACUUCUCACGUAGAUAUCAUGGUUGGAUUCCAUAUCUCCGGAGACCCGUACUUCCCAAAUCAAGGCAAUGCUGGAUGGCUAGAUGAAGAGCCAGAAGAUGACCAUCCAAUCCUUUUGGAUGAUUACCUCGCAGAAGGCUUUUCGGAUGGUUCUAAUUCCGAACCAGAAGUCAACAACCUACCACAAGUAGUUCAAAACCCAAAUCUCAACCCCCGACUUGCAUUUCAAGGUCCCACACCCUUGUGGGAGACAAACUUGAAUUGGUGGAGUGAUGAGCAGGGUCAACCAUUACCCUUCAAUGGAGACAGAAGCUUUUACAAUCUCAGCGAAGGAGGCUCUGCUGACCGAGUCCUGCCCAUUAUGGUCCGCAGGAUUGCUCGGAAUAUUGAGCAAGGUAGAGCAGCUAUCAACCGAGUCAUGGAAAUUGACGCUAACUCUGGCGUUAACAUGGUCCGCAUUCGCCAACUCGAAGAAGCCAUGGAAAGGACUAGAAGAACCAAUGAGGCUCUACAGCAACAGCUAGUUGCAUCCCGCGCUGAGGUUAUAGAAGUUGGAGUGCGUCAGAGAGCUCAUGAGCAACAUCUUUAGGACGUAGUACGUCAACUGGAAGAUCUGAGGGUUCGCCCGAGGAAUACCCGUCGCCAGUAGAAGAUGUCUGACUCAUCUUUUCUUUUGGUUUAAGGAAUAGCCUUUCGUAUCGGUGCUCUAUGAAGCACUUUUCUGUAAAAUAUUACUGUCGUUCAAAUACUUUAACUAGACUUCUAAGCUGUCAAAGUUUUGCUACUUAUGAUAUGAUGUAAGACCUACUCUUAGGUCAAUACUUUUCCCAAAACUUAUUACAUCCUUAAUAUCAAUGAUAUUGGCAGUCAGCUAAUCUUUUGUAGAAAUCUUUGUUCAAAUACUUUCAUUCUUGUGAUUCUAGAACUCUAUAGAACUCAUACUCUUAUUUAGUUGUUGAACUAUGGCGAUUUAGUUCAUGGGACUCAUUCAUUAACUUCACUAUUGAAUUCUUAUCAUUGUUCUCAUCUUUUAAACUUAUAGUUGAAAGAUGCCUCCUCGCAAGUCAAGAAGGCGUAAUCCUCCGAUUAUUCCAACUCAAACACCAACUCCUCCACAAUUUGAUACGGCAACUCUCAAUGUUGUGGUAGAUGUGGCGAUUGCUAUAGCCAUGGCACAAUACCACAACAACCAGGGAACUAGUGGAGGUGGAACAGUCGUUCAUUCCACACAAGGUGACAUCGUCGUGCGCUCGCGAGAGUGCACUUAUAAAGACUUCACCAACUGUAAGCCCCGAACCUUCAAUGGAAUCGGUGGAGUCAUUGCGCUGUCACAAUGGUUCGAAAAGACGGAAUUGAUCUUUGAGAUAUGUUCCUAUACUGAAGGAAGCAAAGUAAAAUUUGUUGCAUGCACCUUCAGUGAUAGAGCCCUGACAUGGUGGAAUAGCCAUGUCAAGUCACUAACUUUAAUAGUGGCAAAUGCUAUGGGCUGGGAAGCUCUUAAAGGACUGAUGGUUGAAGAAUACUGCCCGAGGGGCGAGGUUCAGAAGAUGGAACAAGAACUCUGGAGUCUGACCAUGAAAGGCUCCAACAUAGUGGCUUACACUGCCAGAUUCAGCGAUCUGGUGGCGCUAUGUUCCAAUAUGGUUCCCACUAAGGGGAAAAAGAUUGAAAGGUACAUUUGGGGGCUAGUGCCUCUGUUUCUGGGGAAUGUCUUAGCUUCAAACCCCACUACUUUCGACAGUGCCAAGCGAUUGGCACAGCGACUCAUUGAUCACGGAGUCUCUACCCCGAAAACGACAACAACCCUGGCUAUCCCAGAACCCUCCAAAGCCGCUGACAACAAGCGGAAGUUAUGGGAUAACAAGAAAGGCAAGUCGGCACAGAACUCGGCCAAGAAGCAGAAAGUUGUGGUUGUUCAUGCCGCGAUUAUACCUACUGCUACAGUGCCAAGGAAGCUGUAUAGCGGAAAUUUUCCCAAGUGCAACAAAUGCACUUUCCAUCAUAAUGGUGUCUGCCGGGAAAUGCAGUGCGCUAACUGCAACAGGAAAGGGCACACUGCCCGAUUAUGCAAGGCCAAUUAACCAAGUCCCCGGCAUUGUUGCGGGCCAGGCUUGCUACAGUUGUGGCGAGGUUGCUCAUUUCAAGAGAGACUUCCCGAAAGGCAGGGAAUGCUGGCAAAGUGGGAAGAAUUCUGGCGAUAGGCCCCGAGGAAGCCAUAGCUGAUCCUACGAUAGUUACUGGUACGUUUCUCCUCGAUAAUUCUUAUGCCUAUAUACUAUUCGAUAGUGGAGCAAAGAGAAGUUUUGUAAGCCAGAAAUUUGUUUGCUUACUUAAACAAAAACCCACGUGCACUAGAGGAAUCAUUCAUUAUAGAAAUGGCAAACGGGAAAACGGAAAGUACUAAUUGCAUAUACAUAGGUUGUACUCUAACUCUAGAUGGUCAUUCUUUCCAUAUAGACCUCAUGUCGGUCUCAAUUAAAAGUUUCGAUGUCAUAAUCGGCAUGGAUCGGUUAAGUCAUCUUCACGCUGACAUCAUGUGCUUUGAGAAAGCAGUUCGUCUUAACCUCCCUAACAACAAAACUCUAGUUAUCUACGGUGAUAAAUCUAGUACGAACCUUCGCAUCAUUCCGUGUAUUCAAGCUCAAAAGUGCUUGCGAAAGGAAUAUCAUGCAUUCCUUGCACACAUCGUUGAUACGAGUCAAGGAGUGAAGGAAAUUCAGAACAUUCCAGAAGUACGUGACUUUCCCGACAUCUUUCCAGAAGAACUACUGGGAUUACCACCGCAACACCAAGUCGAGUUCAGAAUCGACUUAGUGUCAGGGGCUACUCCAGUAACCAAAUCUCCUUAUCGUCUGGCACCAGCAGAGAUGCAGGAACUUUCUAGUUAGCUUAACGAACUUCUCAUGAAGGGAUUCAUUAGGCCAAGCUUUUCACCAUGGGGAGCACUGGUCUUGUUUGUCAAGAAGAAAGACGGAUCGUUUCGUAUGUGCAUCGACUACAGGGAACUCAACAAGGUUACUGUUAAAAAUCAUUAUCCUCUACCCCGUAUUGACGACUUAUUUGAUGAUCUUUAAGGAGAAAACUACUUCUCGAAGAUAGAUCUAUGAUCCGGGUAUCACCAGUUACGAGUGUUAGAGGAGGAUGUUCCCAAGACAGCCUUCCGAACUCGUUAUGGAAACUAUGAAUUUGUAGUGAUGCCGUUCGGAUUAACCAACACACCAGUUGUAUUCAUGGAUCUAAUGAAUAGGGUGUGCCAUCCUUACUUGGAUCAGUUCGUCAUUGUCUUCAUCGAUGACUUACUUAUUUACUCUCGAAGGAAGGAGGAGCAUAGUCAACACCUACGAAGAGUCUUAGAAACAUUACGAUCGGAGAAGCUCUAUGUCAAGUUCUCUAAGUGCGAGUUUUGGAUUCGAAGAGUUGAAUUCUUGGGCCACGUUGUUAGUGAAGAGGGAAUUCAUGUGGGCCCUUCUAAAAUCAAGGCCAUUGAGAACUGGUCAGCACCGAAGACACCUACAAAAAUUCGUCAAUUUCUAGGUCUCGCUAGCUACUAUCGCAGGUUCAUACAUAACUUCUCUAGCAUCGCUAAGCCGCUUACCACACUGACCCAGAAAAGGCAUGGCCUUUGGCUGGGAAGAGAAACAAGAGAAGGCGUUCCAAAAGCUGUAGCGAUCCUUAUGCACUGCACCAAUACUAUCCCUCCCAGAAGGAAUAAAAGACUUCGUAGUCUAUUGCGAUGCAUCCAACCAAGGGCUCGGAUGUGUUCUGAUGCAAUGAGGUAAGGUCAUCGCCUAUGCCUUAAGACAACUGAAGACACAUGAGGUAAACUACACCACGCAUGAUCUUGAGUUAGGAGCAGUUGUGUUUGAUCUAAAGAUUUGGAGACACUAUCUGUACGGUACGAAGAGCACUAUCUUUACAGACCACAAAAGCUUUCAACACAUCUUUGAUCAGAAGGAGCUCAAUAUGAGACAACGAUGGUGGGUCGAGCUACUGAACGACUAAGAAUUUGAAAUUCAUUAUCAUCCCGGCAAGGCCAACGUAGUAGCUGACGCCCUAAGUCGGAAAGAAUACUCUGGUCGUAGAGUCAAAUCGUUGACUAUGACUAUCCAUUCACACUUGUCCACACAAAUUAAGGAGGCUCAGCUCGACGCUUUGAAACCUGAAAAUGUGGCGGGUGAAUCCCUGAGAGCGAUGGAUAAGAACUUGGAAAGCAAGGGUGGCGGAGCCUUAUAUCUCAUGGACUGAAUCUGGACACCGAAUCACGGUGGCUUCAGAGACUUGGUCAUGAACAAGGUGUACAAUACUCGAUAUUCUCUUCACCCAGGUUCGGAUAAGAUGUAUCUGGAUCUUAAAAAGUUAUACUCGUGGCCUAACAUGAAAGCAGAGAUUGCUACCUUCGUGAGUAAAUGCCUUACUUGCGCAAAGGUUAAGGUCGAAUACCAGAAACCAUCAGGUUUACUUCAGCAACCGGAGAUACCAGAAUGGAAAUAGGAGCAGAUUACUAUGGACUUCAUAACCAAAUUGCCCAAGACAACAGGUGGACUUGAUACCAUUUGGGUCACCGUCGACAGAUUGACCAAAUCCGCACAUUUCCUACCAAUCAAAGAGACUGACAAGAUGGAGAAACUAACAAGAACAUACAUUAAGGAGAUCGUACGACUACAUGGUGUUCCCAUAUACAUUAUCUUCGAUAGAGAUAGUAGAUUCACUUCGAGGUUCUGGCAGUCGCAACAAAGUUCCCUUGGAACGAGGCAGGACAUGAUUACAACCUACCAUCCACAGACCGACAGACAAAGUGAGAGAACUAUCCAAACACUGGAAGAUAUGCUAAGAGCCUGUGUGAUUGACUUCGGGAAAUCAUGGGAUACUCACUUACCCCGUGUCGAAUUUUCCUACAACAACAGUUACCACACGAGCAUAAAGGCUACUCCAUUUGAAGCCCUCUAUGGCCGAAAGUGCAGAUCCCCUCUGUGAUGGGAUGUGGUGGCUGACACCCAGUUAGCUAAAGGAUGAGGUCCUGACAGCACUCUCACAGGUCCAGAAAUCAUACGGGAAACAACAAAGAAGAUCGUUCAGAUUCGUGAACGAUUGAAGGCCUCUAGAGACCGAUUGAAAAGCUACGCAGACAAGCGAAGGAAACCUUUGGAAUUCUAGGUGGGAGACCGAGUCCAUAUGAAAGUCUCACCCUGGAAGGGCUUGAUACGCUUCAGAAAGUGUGGAAAGCUAAAUCCAAGAUAUGUAGGGCCUUUUGAGACUCUUUCCAGAAUCGGCCGUGUAGCUUACAAACUCAACCUACCAUGUGAACUCAGUAACGUACAUUCUACUUUCCACGUCUCAAACUUAAAAAAGUAUCUGUCCAAUGAAACUCUUGUAAUCCCACUCGACGAGAUCGAGAUCAACGAGAGCCUCAACUUCGUGGAAGAACCUAUAGAGAUCAUGGACCGAGAGAUCAAGCAAACAAAACAAAGUUUCAUCCUGAUAGUGAAGGUUCACUGGAACGCCAAGCGAGGACCUGAAUUCACUUGGGAGCGCGAGGAUUAGAUGAAAUUGAAAUAUCCUCAUCUUUUUGCUUAGUUAUUUGUAACUACUUGUUUGCUUAAACUCUAAUUUCGGGACGAAAUUCCUUCUAAUGGGGGGAUAAUCUGACAACUCGAAAUUUCUAUCUUAUAACAAACCCUGCAUUCAAUCAAAGUCAAACUUACUUCUGCUAAUUUUUAGCAGUUUUGGAGUCAAUUUGGGUCUUUUAAUCUUAAAUACAUCAGAGGUAAUUAUAGGAAGUAUACUCUAGAGUUACCUGUGCAACACUAUAGUCUCAAAACUCCAAGAGUUUGGAGUUUACUUCCAUAAAAUGGAGUUUACGGUCGUAAACUCUAGAGUAUAAACAUGACACUUAGUCAUUUUAGGUCAUGUUUACCAUUUUCAAGCCUAAAACUCAUUCUCUCUCAAGUACCAUCUGAGUUAUUCACUAGAUCUUCAACUUGGUAAGUGUUUCCUUCAUUGAUUAGUUGAUAUACUUCAAUAUCUAGGGUUUGUGCAUGAUUUCAUCCAUGAAAUCUCUUCAUUUGAUAGAUCUUCAAGUGUUCUUCAUUUCACCAAGAACACCAAGAACAAACGCUAGUGUUCUUGAGCCUUAAACACCCUUAAAAGCUUCAAUAUUGUAAGUACUCUUGUCUUAGCUUGUUUUAUACUUGAAUCAACUAGUUUACACCUAGAAAACAUCAAGAAAACAAGAUCAAAAGGGAGUUUACAGCCAAGGAACCUCCUUGGGCCGUAAACCCUAAUUAAAUGUGCAAAUGAACCCUAAUCCCUUCAAAAGCCUUGGGACCAAGUCUAGAACACUUCCAUCAUAAGCUAGGGACCUUAAAAUUUGAAAUGGUACAAAAUACCAUGCGUUUACAGCCAUAAACUCAUGGAGAAAUGUUCCUUAGGCCGUAAACCCUAGGUAGUGGUGCAAUGGUGCCACCAUUCCUUCCUAAGGCUUAUACUUGAUCAUAGAACACUUCAUUAUGACUUGUAAGACCAUAUAACACAAUUUGGUACUUAAUACCAUGAGUUUAUGGCCGUAAACUCAUGGGGAAAUUACCCCUUGGCCGUAAACUCAUGUGGUUAUUACCAUAUAGGCCAUAAACUCCAAUGGGAGGCCCUACACCCCUUAUAUGCAACCCUAUGUGGUUUAACACUUCAGUUCAAGUGUUUCCUAGCCCCUAAGAUUGUUCCAUUACAUAAUUAGUUGUUAUAAACACUAAUUGUAAGCAUAUAUGUGUCAUUAUAUGUUAAAUAGGAUCCGUGUGUGCUCAAGUCUUCACUUGACACUUAGCAUCCUCUACCGAUCUUACAUUCGCAUCACUCACUUCAGGUGAGCUCAUACCCCUUAACUUAUCUUUAAAUGAUUUAAAAUGCUUUUAUGGGGGGAAUACAAAUACAAAACAUGCUAGUUAUAUAAUCAAUCACAUGUGAUUUAUAACUGUGUUUCAAACAAGGAUUUCAUAUACAUCAAACUGUGUUUCAAAACAAACUACUUUUAAAUCGUUUUAUAAACUGACGUCAAGUCAUUAUUUAUUUAUUGUUAAAAACUCUUUAAAUGUAUUAGAAAACCUCUUUUUAACUUAUAUAUACUGUCAAAAGCAUGUCAAUAUAUGUAUAGUUAUAUACAUAAUGUUUAAAGGACUUAGGACUGCUAGCUCGCUUUAUUUCCUUUUCCUUGUUUGGAUGUGGACUUACGGUAUCGGCCAGUUAUCCGAAGGUCGUCUAAAUAUUAGAUAUAUAUUAUGUAUACAUAUGUUGACAUAAAAGUUCUAUUCAAUCAGUUCAAUACCUUUGGGUAGCAAAGGUAUACAUUCAUCUAUUCAUAUACAUAACUUACUAGUAAACUAUAAUAAGUAUAGUUUAGGAGAGUACUAUCAUAUACAAAUACUAUAACAGAGAAUACUAUAACAGAGAAUACUAGACAGAGAAUACUAUACAAAGGAUUCUAUAGAGAGAAUACUGUACAAAGAAUACUAUUACUAUAACAAGUAUACUAUAACAAGAUUCAGAGACAACAUAAUGUGAGAUACUACUUCAUGAGACAUCGACCAUUUCGUUAUGUCAUGUUUUAUAACCAGAAUCUCCUGGAGGGAGAGCGUGAUUUUGCGUAUAGAUCUAUACUGGAUUGACUAUCCUACACCUUUACUGUUUGCUACAGUGGGAUUUGCAAAUCUACGGGUGCCAAAUGUCAUUUCUUCCGACGUCUUUCAUCGUCGUGUUAUAGUCAUAUUAGCAUGGUAACAAUCAUAUCACAUUUUGCCUUAAUUAAAACAUUGGUUUUCAGGUAGUUAUUACUUCAGUGAUUAAUACAAAUAAUACUGCAGUACACAUAAAUUUUCCCGCUACUUUCCAAUUGUGAUCUUCUCACAUAAAGGGUAAUAUAAAACUAUAUUUUGGUAAUGAUAGUCAUACUUGGGAAAACAUUCACUUUUACAAAGAAACAAACAUACAAAACAGUCGGGUCUUGGUAGAAGACUACUUUUUAUACUAGUAGAAAAUACAGGAUUUUCUAGGAGUUUUCAAACAUAUACAAACAUUUACAUUGAUCAAUUACAAACAUUUUCAUCAAACUUAUACAAACAUUGAUACUAAAUACUUAUGAACUCACCAGCUUAAAUGUUGAUCUACGCUUUCAAAAUAACUUGUAUUCUCAGGUUUGCAAUAGACAGGUACCGAUGACCAGGUUUUGAGAAGACGGAGCAUCUUCAAGACUCGUCUUUUAUUUUGAUUAUUCAUUUUGGUGUCUUAUUACUAUUAAAGAACACAAUUGUAUGAAAUUAUAUUGUUAAUCCAAUGGAUGAUGUUGUUGCUUAUUUACUACUUUGCAUUGUUAUGAUACUGUACAUGACGUCCUCCGCCCCAGAACGUUUCCGCCGUUCUUGGUUUUGGGGUGUGACAGAUUGGUAUCAGAGCAUUGUUUAUAGUGAAUCGAGUAUAUCAACCCAUAAAAGAUAUACAAAGUAUAAACACAAUGGGAUUAAAAUACUGUGACCAAGAGUUUAUACUUUUAAGUACUAAAAUACUUAACUAGAAGUAUACAUAAUUACAUACCUACAUACUUACUAUAGAACAAUGUCAUACUAGAACAUAACAAAAGUAUUACUAUUGUUGAACAUCACAAGUGAGCUUAGGGAUGUAUUGUCAGUUCUGGGAGUGACAUAGCCUGAUCAACUCUCUUGGUUCGAAAAGUGAUUAGCAUAUGCUGAGAAUGGUUGUGAUGUAUCAACAAGUAUAAGAACUUACCAACACUACUACAAUGAGAACAUAAGAACAUAACAUAAACUUAAAAUACUAUAGGAGUAUUUUGUGUUACUAUAAUUACUUAUUUGAGAACUAAACAUGUCUUUAUUAGUAUUUCAAUAGUUACGGAGUGGAUACACUAAGGUUAUAUGUAACUAUGGUGGCAUAGACUUAGAAUCUGUGAUCUUCGCUUUACUUCCUGUUCCUUGUUUGGUUGUGGACUUAGGGUUAGGGUCACUUAUUCGAAGGUCUAUCCUGUUUUGGUUGCAUAUGACUGGUAUGCACUACGCAAAUGUUGGAGUAACUAAUAAGGAUCAUCAUAUAAUUAUCUUAGUUAGUACGUAUAUUAACUGAUUCUUUUACCCCUACUUCUCGCGUAGAUAUCAUGGUUGGAUUCCAUAUCUCCGGAGACCCGUACUUCCCAAAUCAGGGCAAUGCUGGAUGGCUAGAUGAAGACCCAGAAGAUGACCAUCCAAUCCCUUUGGAUGAUCACCUCGCAGAAGGCUUUUCGGAUGGUUCUGAUUCCGAACCAGAAGUCAACAACUUACCACAAGUAUUUCAAAACCCAAAUAUCAACCCCCGACUUGCAUUUCAGGGUCCCAAAUUCCUAAAUGGCAAGCAAACCCUAUAUGGCCCAACCUAAGAAGGCCCAAUGCCUAUUAAUAGCCCAAAGUCUAGAAUUGAUCCAGAGGACUUAAUGGGCCAAGUCCAAUCGAAACAUGACCCAAGCCCACAACUCAUUCGGUCCACAGACUAGCGUACGGUCAGCGUACUGGGCUCGUACGCCCUGCGUACACGAUCGAUACGGAAAUGGUCACGCACCCAGUAUGCUCAGUGUACCCAUGAAUACGCCUGCAUACUGGCUUGAUCCCAAACCCUUGGCCAAAUGACUUAACCACUUUAACACUUAUCAUCCAAUCCACAAAAUAACAUCAUAUUAAGGUCCUAACCCAUAAAGUCGAAGACUUUAAGCCUUUGCAUGGCUAAAAACACCCCAAGGUCCAAUUCUAGCAUCGUAACUCCAUUAAGAGAAACAUCAACCUUGCAUGGUUGAACAAAGCCCAUCAUGUUAUCAUUUUUAUGAACAAGGGACCUCAGAACAGCCUAGAUCUAUCAUCCCAAGUUGUUGGAGUAGCCCAUCAAGUUAUCAUUUUUAUUUAUACCUCAAAUAGCUUGAAAAUUUGAUAAUAGAUUUGGAUCUACAAGAUCAAGCCACACCAAAGCAACCUCUAAGUGUUCUUUUUCCUUCAAAUCACCGAAACAGCACCAAAACUCACUUCUAAGUCAAAAUUCACAAAUGGCACUUUGGGUUUCUUUCUUAGGGUUUAAGGGAGUGGAGGAUUACCAAAAGAUACCACCAAGGAAACAUAAGAUGUUUAAAUAGGGCACAAACCCUAAAAUUAGGGUUUGUCUUUGCUUAGAGUAGGCCCCACGUAUGUCCAACAUACGCGGGCGCCUCUACGACCAUAAAAUGAGCCAAUACGCCCAAUGUACUCGGCUAGGGAGUAAAUAAAAGGAAUUCAGAAUAAGGGUUGAAAAAGAACAUACCACUAAAUCUCAAAUGUUACAAAUAUAGCGAUAGUUAAUGGUGAACCCUUUUCCACUCCUUAUAUUCAGGUUGGAAUUAAUGAUCCUCUUAUAAUCCCCCUCCCCCCAUUUAAUUUCUACAUUGGUUGGCUAUCACUCCUUUGCUUCAUUUUCAGUAUAGGUUGGCUUUCACUUCUUUUCUCAUAUUCAUUCUUCAUAAGUUGAGUCUCUGGUACUACUUCAACAUCAACAACAACAUUAUUUUUAUCAUUAUAUUCUCCUCUCACAUUAACAUCUACAAAACAACCAACAUCUGGUAUUUCAUUUCUAUCAUCAGACGUAGAAUAUAAAUUAUAUAUAUAUAUAUAUAUAUAUAUAUAUAUAUAUAUAUUUUAUAUUAUAUACAAAACUUUAUAAANUAUAUAUAUAUAUAUAUAUUUCUAAAUUUGUUUAAAAUUAGACAAUAAGGAGAAUAGGACAAUACCUGGUUUUGUUCUUAUAGAAUUACAAAAUUUUUUCCUUUUAUUCUAUAUCUUCUUGAUUUUAUUCGUCCUUACUCACACUUUGUAAGAUAACUUCUCAUGCGCACAUUCUUUACAAAUACCACAUUUUACCUUCAGUUGUUUUAGUGAUUCAAAAUGCAUACCCAACACUAGUUUCUAUAGCUUUUAAUGUCGGGUAGAAUCAUAUGAAUGGAAAUAAGGCUUCUUCGUAUUAUCAAGGAGACUCAUAAUUUUUCAUUCAUUAAGUUCUUCUUUUUAGGUCAUUAUUAGCUACCAGUAUACUUAAGAAUUUAUCAUUCAAGGUGUUGUAGAAGUGGGUAUUACCUUGUCUUUAAGAGUGUGUAAUAAUGGGAUGUCAUUAAAGGAGAGAAAUCUUCUUCCUCAUAUUCAUCCUCAAAUAGGAUUGGCGUUUAUUUAUCUUGUGGUAAGACUUUGUCAUGUAUCUAUUCAAACAUUGGGUCAUUAAACCGAUCAAGGUAAACUGACAAAGGAGCACCAUUUUUACAAUCAUAGUCUAGGAAUCUGUUGUAGACCGCUUAAUCUUGAAGCUUUUUUAAGCAUUUGGAUAAAGAUUCAUCAGGAAGACAUAUAUAAUCACAUUGGUUCUUAAUAACAUCAUUGAUUUCAUCCUUGAAUGACUCGUAAGUGAGUGACUUUUAGUCAAAUUCUGGGAUUUUUCAUUGCUGUUGUAUUCGUUUGGUAAAAACACCCCCACAGUAUAAUAUCUUCAUGAUAAAUUCACAUUUCCAUCUUCUCCAGUCUUCAAUACUAAUGAACUCACAUAUGAUUUCUAGGAUUUAUGAUUUUGUAGUAUCUUCAAUAAAAACAAACGUCUAUUAAAGUUGGUAUGGUCAAUAAUGGUGGUAAGCUUGAUUAGAUGUGUAUUCACUAGUUUCCAAAAAUCUAAACAAUGCCGUUAACCCACCAUGAUUUCGGUGUUACCUUUUUUAUAUAAUAGGAUACCUCCAAGUCCACAUCAUCAGGGAAACUGCCUAUGCAGGAUUUAUGGGUAACAAGGGGUAAAUAGAAACAAACUCAUGACUUCAAGGACCUACUUAGAACAAUUAGAACUUAGGUGGCUAAACAAGGACAAUUUUAAGACUUCCAACGUCAACAAAGUAAAAGAAAUCCUUUCUAAAAUGUUAGUGUUUAUUUGUUGUCGGUGUUUGAUAUCACUGAAUUCUUGAUAAUUAUGGAACCAUUCAAAAUAUAUCAACUUUGGGAGCGGUGGUCCAUAUGUAUCUUUCCCAUAUUUUUAUUCUUUAUGCCAUAUUAGUUUUUUUCUCUUUUCUCACUGAUGUCUCUCUCAUCCCUACACCAUGGAAAUAAUAAUUUUGGCCAUCCCUCAUGUCCCAUAUUUUUUUUAUAAAUAUAAAUGCAUAGAGUGCAACUUGAAAAUGCUAAGGAAGGAUAUAUAGAGUUGAUGGAUGCUAGGGAAGUCCAACCCGCUUUGGCUGCAAAAUAUUUGGUACAUAGACACAUGGGGUAGUCUUCCCCAUGGUACCCACAUCCCUCCAAAAUUCCCGAGUUCCCCGUCCCCUCCCAUACCUCACAACACAUCAAGUUGCUAUUACAGUUCCAAGAAUAAGGGUACUUUCAUCUCUCUCAUACCUAAAGUUUAUGAUGUGAGGUAUAAUCUAAGACUACUUUCAUUUUGCUAUUACGGUUCCAAGGAUAAUGGUUUUGAUUAUGAGAACAUAGGAUGUGGUUUCAAGAAUUGAAGUCGUGGUUUUAAGAAUAGAGAACCAAGGUUAUAGUUUAGAGAAUAGAGGCAACCUGCAGUUGAGAAGUGACGAGAAGUAUUGGUAGAAGCGUAAUGUUUGUUCAUCCAGUUUCUUGGACACCAAGUUUUCUCAUAGGCCCAUAUAUUCAUCCCAAAAGAAUUAGGUCAACGACACUAUACAUAAUCUCAUUUCUUGUAAUCAUUGUGUGUAUAAAUCUUUUUAUUAAGAAAAUCUUUUUCUAGUUAUAGAGUAGACUUAGCUUGAUUACUUUUAUUAAAUAAACCACUUAAAUCCUUGUGUUCUUGUUUAAUAUUUUCAUCUUAGUUAUCAUUUUUUGUUUCGAGUUGCUUCUUAAUCUCACCAACUAAUAUUAGAUUUAUGGCUGGAGACGGAAAUAUUAAGAUCAGUAAGUUUGAAGGUCACGAUUUGGCUUUGGAAGAUACAUAUCAAAGAUUAUCUCUACCAAAAGAAGUUACACAGACCCUUAGUCGAAAAGAAACCAAAAGUGAUGAAGCAAGAUGAAUGGAAUCUAUUGGAUCGACAUGCUCUUGGCAUGGUAAUAUUAUAUUUUGAAAAGAAUGUUGCAUACAAUAUUAUUAAUGAGAAGACUACCUAUAAAACUUGAUAAAAAAGCUAUCCAUUUUUUACGAAAAAACCCUUAUCAAGGAAUAAGGUUUUCUUAAUUCCAUAGUUGGUUAACAAAAAGAAGAAGGAAGGUGGCUUAGUGACAAAUCACUUGAAUGAAUUUAAUUCAAUCAUAUAAAGACCAGUUUUGGUUGAUAUUAAAUUCAAGGAAGAAGUCCAAGCCCUACUAUUCUUGACAUCUCUUCCUGAGUAACUGGUCUAGUAAAGUGACAACAAUUAUUAUUUUAUAUGGAACUACUAAGUUGACAUUUGAAGGCAUUUAUGAAUUGAUCCUUAAUUACGGUACAAGGGAAGCAUCAAGUAGUCUUUUGAGUAUAGAAGAUAGGAGAAUAAAAACCAACAUAGGAGGUGGUGAUGGUGAAAGAUCAACAUCAAGAAAUAAAUGUCAUUCGAAAAAGAAAGAUAAUACUUUUUGGAAUUUCAUGAAGAGUGACCACUUCAGAAAUCUUGUUCCUAAAAUCCUCAACAAACAAAGUCAAGAGGGAGAUGAAUGCGGCAACAAACUUCAAUGAUGAUGAACUUAUAUGUUGUGUCAAAAACUCUAGAGAAUAUUUGAUAACUGAUUUGGUGCAUCAUUUCAUGUUAGUCAUUCCAAUGUAUAAUUCAUAAUUUCAGACAUUAUAGUAGGAACGUUCGGUCGGAAGGUAGUAAAAGGCUAGAUAUCAGUGGAGUUGGGGGAUCUUGUCCUCAAGACGACUUUGGGGACAAAUUGGAAUUUGAAUAACAUUAAGUAAAAUCACGAUCUAAAGAGAAUGUUGAUAUUAAUAUGACAACUUGGUAAUGAGGCUCACCAUGUUACCUGAAACACCCCUCGUACUAGCUGGAAGAAAUGGUAAUUUCUUGAAAAUCAUCUUUAAAUGUUUUUAAAGUUCAAAAUGCGGAAUUCAGUACCAAACGUUCAUUUAAUAGUUUAAAAUCCAAAGUUAAGUAUUUCAAAUAGGAGGGUGUUUACAUUCCAAUACCAUCAUAAAAGUUUAAAUAAACCAUACAAGUUUUGGUCUUAUUAAAACCCAAGCAUUCUAUCUUUAUGCUUCAACUUCAUUUAUGGGUACAUGUCAAAUAGUACAUUAGGCUUGGGAAGCCUAGUGAGUAAUAAUGGAAUCCAACCAUGGAAUAGGCUGGGGUAAUGAAAAUAUUUUAAAACAUUUUGAUCAAUAUCAAACUUUAUCCAAUAAUAAUUUUUAUCAACAUAUCAGUUUAAGAGUAGAUGAAAUUAUAAUCAAAUGAUGUAAUGAACAUACAUCUAAUCCUAAAAACCAAUUAUCUACUCUCAAGUAAGUCCCCUUUAAUUAGGGUCUUGAUGGUCUUAUUGGCCCUGAACAAGUAGUAACAUUACACUAAACUCAUGGUCAUUGACAUAAAUGUAAAAGUAGUGUUUAACCAAAACAUUGUAAUUCAAUUAAAACAUAAAGGUUAAUUUGUAGGAAACUAAUGAAUAUCCCAUGCAUAACCAAGAAAUGGGUUUGAAAAGUCCAUCCCUACAAUUACUAAGGUCAACAAAAGAUCACUAAGGUCAAAAUAAGGGAGUUAAUCCCUUUAUGUGUCCAAACACUCAUAAGUCAACCCAUCCUAGCAUGCAAUUAACAAGUAUGAUGCUUUAGAAGUUUUCUAAAAUUCAAAUAACCUUUUUCAAAUAAAUAUUUUCUAUAACAUCCCAAACUUCAGACUUCUAAAUUCAUCCCUAUAAUUCUAUUUUAUGUCAAAUUGGUCCUUAAGUCCAAGAGUUAUGCUUUGAAGCCCUAGUGGCAAUUUCAUAAUUUGGGCAGGAGGAGUAUGCCAAGCGUACAUGUGUGUACGUUGAGCGUACUAGGGUACGCCCUAGUAUGUUGGGUGUAUACUUAUGUACGGAGGGCAUACUAAUGUCAGGAGGAAAACCUAAUUUUUAGGGUUUGAGGGGUAUUUAAGCAACAUUAUGGCUCAUUUCUCCACAGCUUUUCAGCCUCCACAUCCUUUGAGAUGUUUUUGUAAACCCUAACCUUUGAGUGUGAGUUUUGGAGAUCAAGUAUGUGUUCUUGGUGUAUUGAAAGAAGAAGAAGAUUCUUGGAGAAGCCUUGGUGUGGGAGCAACUUGUGGAUCUAGUAUAAAGCUUUGAUCUUGACUUAUAUUUCUUUAAGAUCUUGCCAUGAGGAAUUUAUGUGUUUUUAGUCCCUUUUCUUGGCCUUAAUCAGUAUGAGCUACUCUAAGACCAAAGGAUCUGUCCUUUCUGAAGAAAUAACGUGCAUUAAUUCAUAAAAAUGCUAUCUUGGCUCUUUUGGUGCAUGCAUGCAAGUUAUAGAGGUCUUAAGUGGUUAAGACAAACGAGGAUCUUGGUUUUGGGACUUAAUAAGACAUGCAAAACCAUAAAGUUGGAAGCUUUAUGUUUUGGAACACCUUUCUAGGCUUAGAUGUGAAGUUGACGUUUAGAAUUGUUGGAUUAAGCACUUAAUGGGAUUUUAGGUGGUGCGAGGGUAUGCCCCGCGUACUCGGUCAACCACCCCAAUGAUGGUUAAUGAAAGGCUUGGAGUACGCUAAGCGUACCUCCGGAGUACGCCCCGCAUACUCGCAUUAGGUAAGCUCGGUGGGUUGACUCAGUUAGGUUAACAAGGCUGGGUUAACUCGACUGGGUUGACUCUGUCGACUUAGUGGGUUUGACCAGUUGACUUUGACUGAGUUUGACCAAGUUGCCUCUUGGGGGUAUUUUGGGAUUUUGAUGAAAUUGGUCAUUUGGUGGUAAUAGGUAUCGGUUAGAGAGCUGAGAUUCAGAUGCGGGCCUUAUCAGUUCGGUUCAGUUUGCAAGGUGAGUUUUCCUCACUAUACUUUCGGGUCGAAGGCACCAAGACCGACCCUUUGUAUUGUUAUCUUGGUUUAUCCUAUGAUUGUUUACUACAGUGAUAUGUUAGAUCUGUAUCCAUGUAGAUAGGAUUAUGUUAUGCUUAGUGAUUUGUAAGAUUUGUCUGGUUGUUAUUGGCUAGUUAUUUGUAUGCAUGUCUAUUAUAUAUGUGUGUCGACACAGUGUAUAUGUCGUUAGGUUGAGGCGGUCCUGCAUUGUGCUAAAGGCGAAUAGACCCAAGGUGUCCCGGAUAAACUGAAGUGAAGUGGGUGUAUCAGUCAGGCCGAAGGCCCGGAGAACUAUCCAGAUAGGCUGAAGGCCUGGUGUGGCGUACCAGUCAUGCUAUAGGUUCUGUGAGUGUACCAAGUAGACUAUAGGCUGGUGGGGCAUUCCAGUCAGAGUAAAGGCUCUGUAUGCAUGUUGUUUUCUGUUAUUAUUAAGAUCAUAUGACGUGUUGGUAUUUUGGGGGAAGUCACUAAGCUUUGGGCUUACAGUUUUGGGUUAUGUUUCAGAUACCCCAGAUGAUCGCGGGAAGGCAAAGGCGUGACCGUGCACCUCCUUGUUUUUUGUUUUAUGAUUUUGGGAAAACUCUGAUAUUAAGCAUGUUAUGAAAACCAAUUUGUAAACAAUGAUGAUUUGUGGAUUGCUUUUAAAAGUUUAAAUAUUUAAUGAACUUUAUGGAUGUUACAAAUUUGUAUCAGAGCCAUGUUUGAGUGAAUUGGAGGAACACUCGUGUGAAUCCAGUCUCAAACUAAGGAAAAAUAUUUUUCAAACAAUUUUCAAAUAUUUUUCGAAAUAUUCAAAGAGGAUCUGAUGUGUACGAUCAGCCGGAGCCAGUAAGUAGACCCUAAAUUAGCACACAGUUAUUUGAGAUUAUGUUUUGAUAUGUUAAAACAUCAUGCUAGUAUUAGGAUAGGGAUCUUCAGAAACUGUAUGAUAGAAUUUCCUGAUAUAUGAUGCCUUAUCUCUUAUAGAAUCCUUGAUUGAUUUUCGUAUGACUCUUUUGUGUGUGAAUGGCUAUUGAGUGAAUACGCUUAGUCACAUGCUACAUGGUUUAAAUGAGCUUAGGAUAAAGGAUUUGGUCCUGCUGCACAGCUCUUGUCUGAGUCCAACCGUUGGGGGAUUGAAUCUUUUAUCCUAAUAUUGUUUAAACUGUACGACAUGUGAUUGUAUUCAUGCAAUAGUCAUCUAGACCAAUUGAGGGUCAUGUGGCAGUUAGUGGUAGGAUGGGUUGUGUGGGGUCAGCCGACUAGUCUCGAGAUGUGUAGCCUUCCUCUAGGUUGUGAGGAUUUCAUGUGUGCGCAUGCUAGUAUGUAUUGUUAGGGUUGUUGUGAUGAUCCUCAAGAAAAAUACAGGUGGGUGUGGAAGGUAGUAUAAGCCCCUACUGAUGAAAGCAUAGGCCCCGUACACGUAGCAAGGAAUUCACAACCCCUAGGGCUUUGUUGGGAGUUGGUUCCCCUGUUAUGGUAUGCGUGUUAUCUGAUAUCUCCCUAGUAUAUUUUCAGUAUGAUGAUGACGAGACGAUUUGAGGCUGGAUCUGGAUCGGGAUCGGGAACUGGCAAACAGGGUGGGCCAACUGUGUCUGAGGACAGGAUUAGGGAGAUCCUUCAUUAGGAGGUUUUGGGUAUUGUCCUAGGUCAGAUACUGGAGCUUUUUGGGUCAGACCACGAUGAUGGAUUUCUUUGAUGAAAUAUAUGUUGCUUUGUCAGACACUACUGCUGUUGCAGCCACUGCAGUCGUCGCGCCUGUAAGGAUUGGUAUCGGGGCGAAUUUUUCAAUAGCAGGACUUCGACAAUAUGAAGCCCUUGAAUUUCGAUGGAUUUCAGGACCUAAUCAUAGCCAUGAGGCAGCUAUCUAAUGUUGAGGGAUGCUUUUUCACCUACUCUUGCCCAGCUGACCAUAAGGUCAGGUGCGCUCUGAACCUCCUGAGGUCCAGACCGAAGGAUUGGUGGAGGCUUGUUACAGGAUCGUGUUCUGCUGAGCAGAGAGCUGAUGUAUCAUGGGAGAAGUUCUAGAGAUGUUCCGUACUAGAUAUAUGUUGCAGGUGGAGCGUGAGAGGUUGGCCCAAGAGUUUUUGGACCUGAGGUAAGGGACGGAGUUAGUGACGGAGAUCACCAGGAUGUUUAUUGAGGGGGCCAUGUUCUGCCCUGAGUUUGCUUUAGAGUAAGCUCAAAUGACCCGUUACUUGAGAAUGCUUAAGAUGGAUGUCAGGCAGUUUAUUUCCACCCAAGGAUAUGAUUCUUUGCUGGAGAUGCAGGAGGCUGCCGGGCGGCGUGAGAUUGAGAUAGAGUUGUAGACGAGAGAGCAGAGACCGGUCCCGAGUAGUCGCAGCAAGUGCCAAAGCGGUUCAAGGUUGCUGAUUCUAGAUCUGGUGGUCAGAGAGGCCGCACUUUUGGGAGGUGCGGUAAGGUUCAUAACGAGGCUUGUCGAUCAGGAGGUGGGUGCCACAAAUAUGGAACGGAGGGGCACUAUAUGAGGGAUUACCGCCAUCUGGACCCAACUCUGAGUACUAGGAUUUGCUAUCAUUGUGAUCAACUUGUCCAUAUGAAGGUCAACUGUCCAUUGCUCGGCAUCAAGCCGACACAGGCCCCGACACCAGCUACUUUGAGGAUCACAGAUGAGCGCCAGGGGAGGGCAGAUCUCCCGAGGGCUCGAGGUCGCACUUUUCAACUCACUGCCAAGGAGGCCAGAGCAGCUCUAAAUGUUGUGGCUGGUUUGUUUCUAUCCAUUGUACGUUCCUAGUGAACUCUUUUCCUGCUCUUGUGUUGUUUGACUCUGUUGCGAGUUGGCCCUUUGUAUCUCGUUCGUUCAGUAGAGAGUUUGAUAUGCCUAUUGGGGAGUUACAGUGUCCAUUGUGGGUUUCUAUUGCCAAUGAACACAUGGUUUCUACGUCAUCAGUGUAUCAGGGUUGUGUAUUGGAGAUUUUCGGGGUGCCCUACUCGAUCGAUUUGAUCCCUAUUCCUAUGGGGGAUGUUUUCAUGAUUGUGGGCAUGGAUUGGCUAAGCCGGUUUGGUGCUAUGACUGAUUGUGAGGGUCAGCGCAUGGUAGUUCGAACACCAAGUGGGAAGAACUGGUUAUCUAUGGAGAGGGCACCAGGAUGGGGUCAUGGUUUUGUUCAGUGGCCAGGACUCGUCAGUAUAUUCAGCAUGGGUGUACGGGUCACUUCGCUUAUGUGGUGGAUACGCGUGUUGGGGAUCAAAUUUCAGUUUUAGAGGUCUCGAUUGUCAGGGAGUUCGCAGAUGUAUUCCUGGAGGAGUUGCUCGAUGUGCCUCCCGAGAGGUAAGUCAAGUACAAGAUUGACCUUGUGCUAGGUGUGGCCCUGAUUUCUAAGGCGCCAUACCAUUUCCGCCUAAGAUGUAGGAUUUGUCAUCUCAACUGCAGUAAAUGCUAGGCAAACAAUUCAUCAGACCAAGCAGUUCUACAUGGGGAGCGCCGAUACUAUUUGUCAAGAAGAAGGAUGGUUCACACCGGAUGUGCAUUGAUUACCGGGAAUAGAACAAGUUAACGGUGAAGAACCAUUAUCCCUCCUACGGAUUGGUGACCUCUCUGAUCAGUUCCAGGGUGCAUCUUGGUUUUCUUAGAUAGAUAUGAGGUUUGGGUAUCAACAGGUUAGAGUGAGAGAAGCGGGCGUGGAGAAGACCGCGUUCCAGACUCGUUAUGGGCAUUAAGAGUUCGUGGUGAUGCCAUAUGGGAUGACCAAUGCGCCAGCGGUGUUUCUGGAUUUGAUGAAUCAAGUAUACAUGCCAAUGCUCGAUCGUUCCGUUAUUUAGUUUAUUUUGGAUUAGUGUCUAAGUUCAUAACUAUAUUUGGUAUGUACUUGACCCGAUUGGCAUGGUCCAUUUGGGUUGCAUGACAUCAUGAAUUUGGAUAGACUAAAAUGAGAGAAAUAAAACUUAAGGUUAAUUAAUAUAUUAUAAGUUCUAAUAUAUUAAUAAGAUUAUUUAACUAGUAUUCAUCAAGAAUUAAUUUGGAAUUAAUUAAGUGAUCAAAAGGAGACUAAUUAAAUAUAUGGGUUGAUUUUGUAAAUCAUCCAUACUUGUAUAGUGGGCUAAUGCUCUAUGGAUUAUCAAGUUGGGCUAAAACCCAUAGGAUGCUCCAUGGUGUUUUUGUACCCAUGAAACAUGGAAAUGAAAGGCCAUGACAAUUAGGGUUUACAUGGUGUAACCCUAAUUGUGACACACUAUAUAAGCAUCUUAUUCUUCCCAAAAAUCAAACACUAUGAAGGAAUGGUGAGGGCUAGCCGAUUUCAUGAAGUGUCUCAUUGCUCUUAAGUUAUUCUAAGUGUAUUUGAUGUUGUGUGAACCAUUUGAGGUGUCACACUUAGGGCACUAGGCUCUUGAGCUCCAUGGAAUCAAGCUACAUCAAAAAGGUAUGUAUUCUAUCUAGUUUUGUUAUACUAGUACUUAUGAUUGUAUGCUAGUUAGGGUAAUACCUUGGAAUGUUCAUAUUUGCAUGUAUAAUAGAGAAAAAAAUAGAUCCAAGGUAUUUAGGGUUGCAUGUACACAUAGGAGUGUUAGAAUGCUCAUAACCCAACAGUGGUAUCAGAGCCUAGUCUUGUUUUCUUGUUAUACUUGCAAAAUUGGCUGAAAAAUCGAAGUUUGUUGCUGUCUGCUUAGCAGACUCGCCGAGUCCAUGAAGGGACUCGACGAGUCCAAGGAUAAACUCAUCCAACUCGCCGAGUUGGUUCAUGCACUCGACAAGUUGGGCUCCCAGACAGCAUAUCUUUGACUGUUUUGGCUGGAAUUGGACUAGGAACAUUACCCUAAGCUGUUUUUCAACUUAUAAACCUGUUUUUGGUGUGGCAAUGUUCAUGCUAAUCCAAUUUCAAAGAUCAUUGUCAAUAGAUUCAUGUUUUGUAUUAGUUUAAUGGUUAGGCUAAUUACAUGAAAAAGUUUGAUUGAAUUAUCUUGUUCUUAUGAGUUGCUUAGAUUAAUAGAAAAGUUAUGUGAAAUUUUUUUUCAAUCCAAAUUAAUCUAAGAGUUGGUUCUAAAAUGUAUUUUUGUAACUUGUCCUCAAGUUAUAUGAAAAGUCACAUUUAAGAUUCAUAAAACUCAUAAAUAUUUCCAUAGGUUAUGAAUAAAGAAAUGUAACAUCCAUCGAUUUUACGCCAAGUUUAAACUUUUUGAAUCAUAAAUAAAACCCAAUGGUAUUGUUUAAACAAAAUGCUCUCAAAUCAUUAUUCAAUCAGAGUGUCCCAAAAGCCAGAUCAUAAGGACGAGGAGCGGUACGGUCACGCCUUCGCCUUUCCAUGAUCUCCUGAAGUACCUGAAACAAUAAAUGAAAACUGUAAGCCCGAGGGCUUAGGGAACCACCCCCAAAAUACCAAUACCACACUGAUAAUACCAUAUCAGUAAUAAUCAAUCAAUCAACAUGCAUACUGGGCCAUCGGCCUGACUGGACCGCCCUACAGGGCCUACAGUCUAACUGAAUCUAUACCGAGCCUUCGGCAUGACUGGACCUCCAUGUGGGCCUACAGUCUCCCCGAACGGCUCAUAGGGUAUGUUGACCUUUAGCAUAAAGCAGGACCGCCUCAACCCAACCAACGAGCAAAUAAUCAUGUGCGCAUAACUAAUAUACACUCGCAUAUACAGACAUAAAAUAUUUCUAUCUUACUUGGAGCACCGACCUAGCAGGACACUAACAUAACAACCCCUAAGGAUCAUAAAAGCAUAGCAUACUGUCUACCCUGAUUCUGAUCUAUCGGAUCAUAACCGCAUAUAUCAUAUCAUAACCAUAACAACUAAAGGGCCAGCCUUGAUGCCUUAGACCCCUCUUGAUAUAGUGAGGAUAACUCACCUUGCAGAUGUCGACUCGGUAGAUGAACCCCAACUCUCGGAUCACUUGCCAAAGACUCCACCACCUAUUACCAUAAUACGAAUAUACCCAUAAGUCCUCAACCUUACAAGGUACUCCAUAAACCAACUAGUCAACCCUUUGUCAAAGUCAAAGUCCUCAGUCAAGGUCAAUAGUCCAUGUUGACCCUAACUCGCUGAGUACCCUCGGCUACUCGCCGAGUUCCUUGAAGUACUUGCCCACUCGCCGAGUCACCGGGGUGACUCAUCGAGUUCCUUCGGUUUACGAUCAAAACUCUACGGCCACUCUUCGAGUUUCCUUCAUGCAACUCCAUGGAUACGCACACAUACAUAACUUAGGGAAAUCUCAUCCGACUCGCCGAGUUUUUCAUACCACUCGUCGAGUCUAUAGCAAUCUCCAAUGGACUCGCCGAGUAGUUCUUCCAACUCGUCGAGUUCAUGCCUAUCUUCAUUUGACUCGCCGAGUCGACCAUGCGACUCGUCGAGUCCCUUCAGUCCUUUUUGCCAUACAGACUCAUUUGAGCCAUGCAGUAGCUCCAAACUAUAGAUCCAAGCUUCUAAGGCAUGCUUUUCACAUAAAGUUGCAAACUUUACGUCCAUGCAUAGCUAUAAAGGCUCCAAAUGUCCAAUCCAAUCCCGUAAUGGGGUUUCCUACCCAAGGAAGGUUUCAUUCAUGCCCAAACCAGAAACUUUAUGACUCUAGUACUUAAGAAGGGUCCAGAUCUGGAGUUACAACUUCAGAUCUAGCCCAUAGUCCACCUUAUCAACUCAGAGAUCCAUAAAAGCCCCAAACUCAACCAAAAGAGAUCUAGAAGGGAAAGAAGUAAAGCUGGCGACUUGAUACCUCUGGAAGAUGCUAACUGAGGUAGAUUCUGAUUCCCACACUUUCCUUGCUCCACCCCCUUUCCUUCCAAGUCCCUUCUCCAAAGAUCUUCCUCCCAAGCUUAAUACACACACAAUAGAGCACCACACGAAUUAGGGUUUCUUAAGAGCUCUCAAGAAUCGUAAAGAGGCCAAGGGAGGCUUAAGCCUCUUUAAAUAGGGUGCAAAACCCUGGGAUUUAGGGUUUCAUCUGCCAGCUCCUACUCGUCGAGUCCCUUCAUGGACUCGGCGAGUAGGUCGCUAAACACGCGAUCCCACCCCGCUGCUACUCGACGAGUAUGGCAACCAACUCGGCCAGUAGGUCUUAAAACCAAAGAAAUUCUUAUUUAAGUCAAUAACUAAGAAUCGGGGCAUUACAAGAAAAGUCGUAUUCUAUUAAUAGUUUAAAGUCUUCCAUAACUUGUCCUCAAGUUAUGGAACUUGAAGAGUUUUUUGAAUUAAAACUACUUUAAACACAUAAGUUAUGGAAUGGAAUAGUUUUGAAUAGUUUCAAAACAUGCCCUCAAGUUUUGGAAUUUGUAAAGUUUUCCCUUAUGAAUACUUUAAUUCCAAGUUAAGCCUUUAGAAUUUUAAAAGUUAAAAUUCAACCCUUAUACUUUAUAGUAUUAUAAGUUAAUAAUAUAUAUAUGUAUAAGAGCAAGUUAGUCUUACCGUUAGUAGGCCUCAUUCACGAAGUCGGUCUAUAAGGGGGGUAUAAGGUUACUGCCUAUAAAAUGGCAGUUUAAUGGGUGUCCACUCUCACCCACCGCGUCCUUGACUGGUGGAGGGUCGUUAGCCGAACGAGUAGGACAAGGACUAGAAUUCUCCCUUCAUUAAAAGUAUUAAUGAUAAAUACUAAGUAACUAAACUUUUAUAAAUUCUCAAUCUUAGUUACUUUAGGAAAAUGUGAAUUUGGUGCUAACCCAUGAAAUUACACUUUGCACUUUGCUUAAGUCGGUUAGUAGAGCGCAUCUGGUUAAUCGGCACACUGGCUGGAUUUAACAAGGUAGGCAAAGGGUAACUUAAUGUUUAUCAUAGUAUCGGUGGAGCGUGUGUGGUUAACCGGCACAUUGAUUGAGGGGUAAAUAUUAAGGGUACCAAGUAUAUUUGCAUGGUUAUUCACACCUUGUUUUGUGAUCCUCGGCAUCCCAAUCACAAAAUUUGAGAGGGCACAAUCAAGAUUGAAACAUGCCAUUGAACAGUUCAAUGAAUCUCAAAAGAUCUCGGAGUUUCAAAUCCAAGUAAACCCUAAUUAAAUUAUUUCGUUUUCAUGGUGGAAAUUGGUGAAUCGUCAUUCGCCUACCUUCAAAUAUUUUAUAGCUUGGAUUACAGCAUCCCUUUUCCAAGUUAUAAAAGUAUUGUGUUGGGUCCCAGCCUUAAUAUUUCAUAUUGGGUGUUACAUUAAGGAGUUUAGAUCAACUAUCUUGAAUAUCUCCCAAAAGAUGUCUAGUUCAGACAUCUAUGAUCUUCCCAAAUCUCUUGGAACUUCACUUCCUCCACCUCCUCCAAUUAUUCUCCCUAACCCACAAGUUCAAGGUCACUCAAGCCCUAAUGGCAAGCAAGGUCUAUGUGUGCUCACAUCUUGGAGAUGAAGUCACAUAUUGACAAGCUGGGAGAGUUGGGUGUCAAAGUAUUGAGGAAGUUGGAUGUUGACUAAUCACUUCCUAAGUCACAUAGUGAGUUCUUUAUGGACUACUAUGAAACAAACUAUGACAUGACCGUUAAUGAUCUUAUCUAUUUGCUUGGUGCUGCUGAAUCAACAAUGAUUUAAGGACUAGUAAAGAAAAUUUGAUUAGGAGAUCAACUUCCCAAUGGACAUUGACAAUGAUAACAUUGGAUAUCUAGAAAAGCUUUCUCUUCCCAAGGAAAGGGAUUGACCAUAGUCAACUCAGUUGACCAAAUGGUAAUGAGAAAGGCAAGUUUGAGAUAGUCCCAUGUACCAUUCCCAAAGGGUCCAUAUGUGUCUAUUGCCAAAGGAAGGGGCAUUGAUUGCGGAGCUGCCUAUUUACCUGAAAGAUCAUAAGGUUGAUCAAGUCAAGAAGUUUGACUCUACUUUAGGUAAAGUCCACUAUCUAACUCUGUUAAGUUUCUAUUAUGAGAUUCUUAUUACAUGAUGUGACUGGGUCACAUGUUGAUGUUUGAAGAAUCAAAGAAAAGUGAAGAAACUUAAAGGAAGUAUAUGUUGAUUCUGAUCGCGAAGAUGGAUUUCGAUCGCAUGGUUCGGUGAUCAGAAUUUUGAGAUGUUGCUUAGGAGUUAUGAUAUAUUGCUUAGGAAUAGAUAACAACAAGUUUUUCAUAUGGUUUUGCACUAUAAGGAUAAGUGUUUCCGCAAAGCUUUAAAAUAAAAGGAAAAGUUUUGAUUCCAUUUAUUCUAAGUAUCCUUACAAUGGCAUUUACGAAAAAUUGUUGCUUAUAUAAUUCCAUUGAUAGCAAUAAUGGAAAUAUGAAUUUGAUUCUUUCAUUUGUGGUAGUGUCUAAAUUUACCAAAUAAGCUAAGAUUCUCAUUACCCAAGUUUUCAGUUGGAUAGAAACUUGGAAUCAUACAAGUUGUAUAGUAUGAUGAAUGAGAAUUUUCACCUUUGGAAAAAUUAAGACUAAUUCCUUGUUCACAUUUGUAUGUGAGUCAAGUGAAGGACUAAGGGAUCGAGUAUACAUUCUUGUGCACUGGUCAGGUCCACCACAAAAGAUCGAUAAGAUUAUUCGUCAUGAUUUACUAAGGUUUAGUAAAUAAGAUUUUACUUUCCAGUGUAAGUAUAAUUCUGAAACAUUGGAAAAGUUUUGAUGUAUGGCAGAACGAAUGAGAAGAGUCAAAUUAGGAAGAAGGAUAAAAGUUUCUCAAAUCUAAAAAGAUAGGAGAGUAAUUUAGUAUGAUGUUUUGUAAUCAUCUUAAUGAUAUAGAAUUCAUGUCACAAUUAGUCCUCUAAGGACAUCUUAGUGCAUUCUUAUGACUAAGAAGAGGAAUCUUGAAUUGUUAUAAUGGUUAAAUCAAGAAGAUGAGUCAUACUUCGUUCCAAAACAAGUCUUAGAUUCAUACUCCAAGACUGUAAGUUGAGUGACAUAUCUUAAAGAAAGGUUUAUAACACUUAUCAAAUGUAAGAGUAAAAGUGCCCUACUCUUGUACAUUUGAAUUUGGUAAGUUGUGAUGUUUUGGAUAAAACAAAGACCAACUAAGGCCAAUUGUGUGAAGUGUUUGUCUUGAUAAAGAAUAUGCACUAUCUCUUGAAUAUUUGGCAAGAGAGUCUUAUAUGUUAAGAGUACAAUGGGAGUCUUAAAGAUCCUAAAAGAAUUUCAAGAUCUAAUCAAGAAUAAAAACCUGUAGUUUGACACUAGCACACGACGUGAGGUUUAUAACCUAUCGUGUUGACAUAUUUCUAUUUAUGUGCCCAUUCCAGUUAAAGUUGGCUUUGCAUAUGAGUUCUGAGAGUUCUCGAUUGGUUACAUAACAACUUGGAAGCAAUGGCAGGCCCUUGUGCUGCCAGGUGGCAAGAAAUUAAGAUUGAGUUCAGUCCAUAUGAGUUUAGAUUUGUCAUUAUCCUUGUCUUGUGAUUAUGGUUUUGACAAAUUCGCAUGGAUAAGAACACAUACACCAUAAAUCUAAGUGUCAUAAGGUUUCUCUCCGAUUCAUGAAAAUGAUGGUGAGGAAACACUUUCACUAAGUAGAUUUUAGGUAGAUAACAGUUGUGAUAUUUGCAUUCUCAAAGUCAUUAGUGGAGCAUGUAUGGUUAACAGGCACACUAACAUGGACUUGUGAGGAAUGGCAAAGGUCUAAACAGUUAAGACUAUGAUUACAACAUCCCUUUUCAUAGUUCUAAAAUUGUUUAGACACACAUGUGAGCUAUCUAAGGAAAGGUGUGUGAUUUUGAUAAAGUCUUAUCAAAACAUCUCGUAUCAGAAAUCUGAACUUUGGUAAGAAAGUCAAUAAAGUAUUGAUUUCUAGAAGUUCAGCUGAAUUCUGAGUACAUGUCAAAGCUAGUGGGAGCAUAAGUGUUAUGCUAAUAAUCAUCAUGUUAGUGGGAG
rnacentral:lncRNA from 1 species